ACCUUACCUAGUCUUAGAGACUAGCUGUCGUCACGACAUCCUACGAAGAGAAACUGGGGUCGUGACAAAAAACUUGGAGCCAUUGAUCUAAAUUAUCCAACGGCACCCAUGCGAUCUCCCGUUUUAACUAGCCAACCCCUCCAAAACGCUAGAGAUAUUUUCCCUUCACAGCCGCCCCUAUUUCUCCUUUCUCUCUAUUUUCUCUCAUCAUCUCACCUCAUCCCCCCCCCCCCCCCAUUGAGCCGAGAAUAUAGCCAAAUAUGCCUUUAUUCAUCAUCCAAUUUCAAAACCCAAACCCUGAAACCCUGCAUCCAAAGGUGAAAGAGCAAGAAUCUCAUUAUUUCACCCUCUGAUAGUUCAAAUCGUCACAUGCAGCCAUAGAUCCGUUAGAUCCUUGACCUCACAAGGGUGAUUAUUGGUCCAAAGGUCAACAAUGGCCUCUGGAUAUUAACUUUUUCUGGCAGUCCAAUGGCCACAAUGUCUAGUCCACUCAUCGUUUGAAUAGGUAAACUUUUUACCCAGAUUUCCCCUCUGGAUUUUCACUUUUUAUCCUCUUGAUUCCGUCACACAAUCUCAUCAGUAUUCAUCAUCAUCUUCUACUGAUUUUUCAAUUUUUUGAACGAAACCCUAGGUUAUCAAUUGUUGCUAUAAAUAGCGGGCUAUAAUUCCCUCACUAAAACAAACAACUACCGUCUGACCCUAGUAAAUACACUCUACUUUAUUUCUCUAAGUAUUUCAAUCAUUUUCCCUAAUUCUCUUCCUUUUUAUUUCUUUUCGAUUCUAUUCAAGUUUAAUUGCGAGGAAUUGGUUGUAAGUACUGGUUCCUAAAUGGAUAAGAAUGAUUACUUGGUUUGCAGCCUUAAGGAAUGUCAGUAAACCUCCAAUCUUAUUUUAGUAAUCUAUUUUGCUUUAUAAACCUCAUGCGCAGUUGUUGAUUUAUUUAAUUGAUUUUAUUGUUGAAAGUCAUGUUUGAUUCAUCAUGUUGAUUUAACUAAUUGAUUUUUGUGUUGACGGUCAUGUUUUAUUUAUUAUGUUGUUCUGUUUAAGCUAAUGGAAUAAUGCUUAUUGACAGUCAUGCAUAUAUUAUCAUGUUGUUCUACUUUACUAAUUGAAUGAUUCUCAUACUUAUAUUAUUAUGUUGUUUUGUUUAGCUAAUUGAAUGAUCCUUAUUGAUAGUCAUGCCUAUAUUAUCAUGUUCAUCUGCUUACCUAAUUGAAUGACCCUCAUUGAUAGUCAUGCCUUUGUUAUCAUAUUGAUCUGCUUAGUUAAUCGAAUGGUUCCAGUUGACAGUCAUGCUUAUUGUACCAUGUUGUUUUGUUCAGCUAGUGCAAUGAUCCUUGUUAGCAGUUAUGUUGUUUAUUAUGUUAAUCCAAAUGUAAAGGAGAAGUAUAUGAUAAACUUUGUCUACCUAGCUUAGCAUGUUUUACUUUAGAGUUUAAUAGUGAUCUUGUUUCCUUGAUUAAAUAAAUGUUGUCUUGCAUUCAUAUGUAUAUUUUGUCUUGUUAGCUAUAAAUAAGUGUUCUUGUUAUCUUAUGAUCAAUUCAUAUUUGAGGACACUGUCCAGAAGGUCUUUUUUUAUUAACAUGGUUAAGCACUGUUGGUCUUGGUGGUUUGACUAAAUGUAAUUCACUUUCAGUAUGCACUAACAUGUUCAAAUGCCAUGCAUGUAGGGCUCAAGUGAGACUAGAGGUUUACCAUCCCAUCCAUGUUUAAUGGCCUCAAUUAUUCUUACUGUUAGUGUGACUCCUUAGGCCAAUUAUGUGUUAAGGUGCUUAGCCUAGAUUGUUUAGCAUGCAAUGAUAUCUCAACUAUGUGCUUGCUUGUUGUUGAAGGACAGUUCUGAUGUUGUUUUGGUGUUCUAUAGCUUUGCUCUAAUAAUCUAAAUUGCUUAAGAGAAACUUUGUUUGAUUAAAUCCUUAUGAGGUAUUAGACCUCUGAUGAAAUUCAAUAAAUGAGUGUAUGUGUUUGUCUUUUGCUAACUCCAACUGAUUCCUUAAACCACUUAGAAUGACAUUCUUGGAGUUGAAGUUGUCUGUAACAUAGCAAGCAUGUUUAUAGAAGUAUAAAAUUAACCACUUGUGCUUUGUAACUCUCUCUUGAUUAUCAUUGUUUGCAGCAAUCAUUCCUAAGAGGUGUGUGUAGAUUCUAUGACAUAUGGAAUGGUUCUGAAUUGAUCUUUAAGCCUUUGAAACUGUUAAAAAUGUUUGAUAAUUUAUAUGUGGUUAUUUAUCCUUACAUAAUGUAUUUUUACAAUGAUCAUAGUUUUAAACUAAAAACGUGUGUUUGUCCCUGAUUCUUUAUGGAAUUUCUCUCAAGUGAUUGUCUCAAUACCUAGAAUGAUUGUUUACUAACAAGUCUGGUAUUGUCCUGAAAUUAUUGGUACCUUUGUUUGACUGAGUUCCUGAAAUAUAUCAUGCUUAGAUGAGUUGAGGUAUCAUAUUGAACCUUCUGUGUUGUAGAUAGUUUGUCUCACGUUGAAUGUAUAGGGCUUCCUGGGCAACCUGUUUGGUUAAAUGCUAAGUCAAGAUUUCUUUUGUGCUUAAACAUCUAUAGAAGAAUGAGGUUCAAUAAUUAAGGGUGUUUGGUGUGGGCUUGACUUUACUAUUAAGGAAUCCCUACUUGGCACAAGCACUGCUCGGGGUCCAAGAGACACUUGUGAACUCUGAAGUGCCAUGGGUCCAUAAGGGAACCUUGUAAGUAAAUAUGGUUCACUCUAACCCUAUAAUUAUUGAUCUUAAUUAAUAUUUAGGGUAUUAUCAUAAACAAAAUUAGGCACUGCUAUAUUUCUUAGAUCAUGAUUUUAUUUAUUUUAAUUAUUUUCCACCUUACUCUUUAUCCAUAUAUGCUAAUUGAUCUUCAUAUUUUUCUUUUGCAUGAACACUGGGCCUGUGGAGGUCAUGAUGGACUCAGACCCAAGUUCAGAGAAAUAGGCCGCUUCCCUUGUCAUUUUCUGAUGUCUGCUGCUUGAAUUUUGUUGGGCCUGACUAAUUGUUAUCCCAACACGAGAGACCAGUCCUUUCCCUCACUUAAAAUUAUGAUAUCAUGUUCUUUGUAUAUGUUAAUGUAGAACUAACAUUGGUAUUGUAUCUCUCUGAUAUGUUGUGAUUGUUUAGGAAAAAUCUCGGGAAAAUUAAAUCUAAUAAGGUAAAAUGUAACCUUGACCGAGAAGAUUAUUCACUUUAAUAGUCUUAAUAAUUUCUGGGAACUAAACGCUUUUAAACUAAUUGUUUAUCAACUAAUUUGCUUGUGUUUACUUACUCUUUUCUAAUGAGUUUUCGUUUGUUUAGGCAAUUACAUAGUUUGAACAGCUUAGGCACAAAGAACCUUUUGAAAAAGUUUUCAAACAGAUCACUUAGGCAACUUAACAUCUAAUUCGUUUUGGAUAGAAAAGCAGUUGUGCAAUGCAAAGGCAGACUUGAUUUUACAAGAGUUAAAUAAACCAUUUUUUGGAAAAAGUUUUGAUUUGUACCAUACAAACUUCAAAAGAAAUAAACAAGGUAUCUGUAUUUUUAAAGUUAUCUGUAUUUGAAACAAGUAUUGCCAUUUCUAAAGUUACAAGUCUUUCUCAAAUAAAUGAGUUUCGAUAAGAAUUAAAAUGUUUUCUCCCUUAAUCAAGGCUUUCAUAUAAACCUGUUUAGUGACUUGAAUCAUUAAUCAACUAGGACAUAAACAAUUAUCUCCCCACAUCUAGCCUAAGUUUAAGGAACUACCUUCUGUAGAUUUUAAGGGAUGCCUAACACUUUCCCCUUCGAAUAACUAGACACCUAACCCGGAUUCUCACUUCUUUAGUAGACCAUUAAGAUAAUAAUUUUUAUAGACUUAUAGGUACCCUAGUAUACCUUUAAAUAUUAGGUGGCGACUCUUCUUUUAUCAACUUCUAGCAAACCACAAGUCCUAUUUUGUUUUGACCUGUGUAAAAUAGGGUGCAACAGUAGUUUUGAGCCAACUUUGAACUGCCUCAAUCAUGUUUGGAUCCACCUUAAUCCCUUCACUGAACACCACGUGGACCAAGAAUGCCACUGCAUCCAACUAGAACUCACACUUAGAAAACUUAGUAUACACUUAUUGUCCCUCAAAACUAGGAGCACCGUCCUCAAAUGUUGCUCGUGCUCCUCCCUACUACGGGAAUACACCAGGAUAUCAUCAAUGAACAUAAUGAAAAAAGAGUCCAAAUAAGGCUGGAACACACUGUUCAUCAAAUACAUAAUGCUAUUGGGGCAUUAGUCAAGCCAAAAGGCAUAAACAAAAACUCCUAAUUCCCAUAACGAGUCCUAAAAGUCAUCUUAGGAAUAUUCGAAUCCCUUAUCCUCAACUUAUGUUACCCCGAUCUUAAGUCAAUCUUGGAUAACACCCUAGCACCAUGAAGCGUAGCAAACAAAUCAUCAAUGCACGAUAGUGGAUACUAAUUCUUGACGGCAACCUUGUUCAAUUGCCUAUAAUCAAUGCACAUUCUUACAGAGCCAACUUUAUUCUUCACAAAGGUACUGCGUAUCCCAAGGUGAAAUAUAAGGCCUCAUGAAAUCUUUAUCUAGAAAUUCCUACAACUAUUCCUUUAAUUCCUUCAAUUUACUAUAUCCAUGUGAUACGGUGUAAUAGAUAUGGGCUGAGUGCACGAUGCAAAAUCAAUAACAAAAUCAAUGUCCCUAUCGAGUGAUAUGCUCAGUAGGUCUGUGGGGAAUACAUCUGGAAACUCUCUCACCACGUGGACUGAAUGAACCGUAAGAGUAUCAGCACUAACAUCUCUAACAAAAGCUAACUAUGCCAAGCAUCCAUUCUCAACCAUCCGUUGAGCCUUCAGAAAAGAAACCACCAUACUACGAAUGUGACCAAGAUAAGCCUCUAUUCUAACCACGACAUCCUUGACAUAGCCAACGUCAUAGUCUUAGCGUGACAAUCAAGGAUAGCAUGGUACGGAGAUAACCAAUCCAUAUCAAAUAUCACAUCAAAGUCUACCAUAUUAAGUAGCAAAAAGUAAACCCUCACCUCAUAGCCCCAAAUAGUUAACAUAUAAGAACGAUAGACAUGAUCCACCAUAAUAGAAUCCCCAAAGAGUUUAGACACAUAAAUAAAAGUAACCAAAGAAUCACGAGUCAUAUCCAAAUAGGAAGCAAAGUAGGAUGACACAUACGAAUAAGUAGAACCAUGAUCACAUAAAAUUGAAGCAUCUCUAUAUCAGGAAUAAUACGUGUAAUGACAGCAUCUGAUACGACUAUCUUAGUCCUACAAGGGAAAGCAUAACAAUGAUCCUGGCCUCCCCAUCUAGGAAGACCUCUACCCGCAUGUUCUCCCCAUAUAGGACGACUUGUACCUGCAUGUCCUCUACGUCUAUCUAGUUGUGUAGGUGGUGUAGCAUCUAGAGAAAGAAACAUAGGCUAGGUACCUUGAAUCGAGUUUUCAAGCCUUAUUUGAAUUCUUUAAUGAUUGUGUUCAUUGAUGAUAUUGUGGGUUACUACGAGAUGAGCAUGAGCAACACUUGAGAGUAUGUAACGAUCUGACUAGUAAUUUUGAGAUCUAGCAGUUUGAUUUGUGAUUUGAGACCUUGAGUAUCUUCUUAUAAUGUAUUAUGACUUGCCAAUAUGGUUGGUUUUGAAAUCCGAGAGGGUCGAGGGUAGUUUGGAAGAGUAAUUCUUAUUUUGUAAGCUUUUAGUUGGAAGAGUUGACUAAGGUUUGGCCUUUGAGAAAACGACCUCGGAUUGGUCUUUUCAUGAUUCCGAUAGAUUCGUAUGGUGAUUUUGGACUUGCGAAUAUGGUCGGAUUUGAAUUUAUAGAUUCGUAGAAGGUUUUGACUCUAUUUACCGAAUGUUGGCCAUUUGAAGAAUUAGAGAGUUUGUAGGUUUGACCGAUAGUUGACUUUAAUAUUAUUAGGAUCCGAAUGGUAUUUUGAGACUUUACAUAGGUUUGUUUGAUUAAAUGGAACUUGUGUGUGAUGUUUGGUUGUAAUUCGGAAUGUCUAAGUAUGAUUCGGAUGCGUUUGGUUACGUUGGAACGUUUGGAAGUUAAGAUAUGGAUUUUGAUCUUCGAUUCUUGGAUUUGUCAUUGUUUUCAUGUUUUUAUCCUUGGAAUAAGCUUGGAUAAGAUAUUUGGACUUGUCGGUAUGAUUGGUCAGGGUCUCGUGGUGCCCCCGGGUUGACUCAUAGCGGUUUCGGACCAUUUCAGAAUAGUUUGGAGCUGGGGCAGUUGUUCAUCGUAUCCGUGUAUGGGGUGUCGCUUUUACGAUGGGUCUGGAUGUGAAGGUCUUCACGUUUGUGGGGGUGUAUGUCGCAUUCACAUAGUGUGGGAGCCAGGUGAGCUUCACGAUCGUGAGGGUAAUUCCGCGAUUGUGAAAGAGGAUUGGGCACGCGGCAGAUAUAUGCAAAACGAACACAUGGCUUGGGCCGCGUUCACUAUGGGUGUACCUUGGGAGACUAUUUUAAGUUGGAUUCUAGGAAUUUUUCCCAUUCUUUUAUAUUUUGAACCCUAAACUUUGAGAAAAAGCGAUUGUUGAGGGAAUUUUCACUACUACCUUGUGGGUAAGUAAUUUUCACUUAGAUUUGAUUAUAUAUCUUAAUUCCACAUGGAUUUAUAUACUUAAAACAUGGAGUUUUAAAGGAGAGAUUGGGGUUUUUGACUAAAAACUUAAGAGGGUGUAUUUCUGGGAUUUGAAGAUCGAUUUGGACUCGUUUUUGGAAUCUAAUAACAUAUUUGGACUUGCCAGGUUACGAGUCAUCGAGAUUUGAUAUUGGUUCCAGUUUUUGGGCAUGCAGACCCGUGUUAACUUUUGUUGACUUUUUAAGAACUCUUCAAAGAUCGACGCUUUAUUGAUUGGGAUUGCUUGCUAUUGUUUCACUUCCUUUCUCGAUAUUUGGUUAGAUUUGAGCCAGUUACAGGUGAUUUCAAAAGUAAGAGUGAUUUUGGAGCUUUAGUCUAGCUCGAUGAGGUAAGUGUCUUGCCUAACUUUAGUUGAGGGAAUUUUUCCUAAUAAAUGAUAUUAUUGGCUACAUGCAGGGGUGAUAUAUAUGUAAGGUGAUGAGUGUAUUGUAAUGACCCGAUCGAUCAUUUUGUGUAUUAUAGCCUCGUUCCCCUAUUUAUCACUUCUUCAAUGUUCAUUUGUGGUUAUGUUACUUGUCGGGGUUGUUGGAUUAGUUUCAGAGAAGAUUCGGUGUGAAUUGGGACACUUAGUCCCAAGGUUGAAGGCUCAAGUUGAAAGAGUUCACCAGAGUUUGACUUUUGUGUAGAUGACUCUAGAAUGGAGUUUUGAUAGUUCCAAUAGCUUUGUAUGGUGAUUUUUGACUUAGGCAUAUGUCUGGAUGUUUAUUAGGAGGUCUGUAGGUUGGUUUGAGGCUAGUGGAGAAAGUUGGAAAGUUUGAGGUUUAGAAGGUUGAGAGAUUUGACCGAGAGUUUACUUUGUUAAUACUGGGUUCGAAUUUUGUUUUCGGGAGUUGGAAUAGGUCCAUUGUAUAAUUUGGGACUAGUGUGAAAAAUUUGAAGUCAUUCGGAGUUGAUUUGAUAUGGUUUGGCAUUAGUUUUAGAAGUUGGAAGUUCUUUAGUUUCAUUAGGCUUGAAUUGGGGUGCGAUUCGUGAUUUUGAUAUUCUUUGAUGUGAUCCGAGGAUUCGAGUAAGUUCAUAGCGUGUUCUAUGAAUUGUUGGUAUGUUUGGAUAGGGUCACGGGGGCCUCGGGUGUGAUUUGGAUUGAAAUCGGAUUUAUGUUUGGACAUGAGACAUGAUUGGUUUCAGCUCUGGUUCAAUCGCACCUGCGAGGGCUUUGCUGUAGGAGCGGCCAUGGGAUCGCAAAUGUGGGCUUAGUUGGGGCUGGAUAAGGGAAUGCAGAAGUGGAAGAAGGCUGGCAGAGCUAGUAUCGCAGAUGCAGAAGUUUUUUGCACGAGCGGACGCACAGAAGCGGGAGUUGGACCGCAGAAGCGGUGGGUUGGGACAUAAGAAGUUUGCAGGUGCGAGGAUUGGAUCGCAUAAGUGGUCCCGCAGUAUCAGAGAUUUUAAUCGCAUGUGAGAUUUCACUGACAUAUCUUAUAUUUGAAGGGUUUCAUGGUUUUUAUUUCUCAUUUGGAGAGUUUUGGGACUCGGCUAAGGGCAAUUUUGAGAGGGUUUUUGCUACAAUUUAGGAGGUAAGUGAAGAUCCAUCACUUUUGUUGUUAGAUAUUUAUUACCCAUUAAUUUUUAUACCUAGUUUAUGUGAAUUUGAAGUAAAUGUAGGGGAUUUUAGACCAUGUUGUUGGAGAGUGUAAUUUGGUGAUUUGGGGGGCGAUUUGUAGAUGAAAUUGGAUGAAAUUAAUAUGGUUGGACUCGUAAUUGAAUGGGUAUUCGGAAUUUGUGAUUUUUUUCAGAUUAUGGGGUGCGGGCCCGGAGUUGACUUUUCGAUUUUGAUUAAAGACUUUAGCUUUAUCAUUUAAGAUUAUUUACUAUGGCUAUUAUUGAUCUUGUUAAGUUUUUUGUGACUAGAUUCGAGUUGUUCGGGGGCCGAUUCGCGAGGCAAGGGCUUGUUGGAGUAUUGAGUAGCGCGUUUUGAGGUAAGUAACAUUUUUAAACUUGGAAUUGAGGGUAAUUAUCCUAGGGAGCCAUGUUAUUUGUGAUGUGUUGGGGUGACGCACAUGCUAGACGACGGGCGUGUGGGCGUGCAGCAGGGUAAUCAUGAUCCGGGUUGACUUUUGGACUAUGUUGCUAUCAUACCCUAUUUUAUCCGUGUUUUUCCUACUUGUUAGAUUUAUUGAGAUAUGAUUCAUGUUAGAAAUCAUAUUUAGUCUAUGUGGUUAUUUGAUUAAGACCUUAUGAGGCUAUUUCUGUUGUUUUAGGUUAUCUAAUUUAACUAUAAUUUUACACUUAGUCAUAAUUCUUUAUUUAUAUAUCAUACCUCAGUCUUUGUUUAUCAUUCAUUGUUACAUCGCAUGUUAUCAUUGUUUUUCCAUAUGUGGUGUUGUUAGCCUGAGAGAUAUGAGAUCGUGAGCCCUUGAGACUUGAGAGGUUGAUGACUGAGGUGGGCCUUAGAGCUGUGUUGAGAGUGUUAUUGUGGAUCGGGCUGCAUACUGUAGCAGGCCAUAUUAGCUUUAUUAUUAUUAUUAUGUGGAGCAGGCUACACGCCGCAGCAGGCCAUAUUAGCUUUUGAUUAGCACUUGGGUAUGAUUCGCUCCUCUGGAGUCUGACAUACUAGCGGUGAGCACAGGAACUGUGAUAUAUAUACACGUACUUUGGUGAGGGGCAUUGAUGCCAGGCACCCAUAUAGUGCUGAGUGAUUGUGUGUGUGUGUGGUGAGGUGGUAUUUGAGACAGACAGCUUGAGUAUGUUGAGAGUGAGAGCAUCUGGGGAUAUCACCGUGAAAUCAUUUAUUUGAUAUGCAUACCUGACAUGUAGGCAUAGAGAUGUAUCAUUUCUUAUGCUAGUUGCAAUUGACAUGUCCUUAUAAGUGUUGGGCUUAUUGUUAUACUUGAAAGCAUGUCUAAAUUACUGUAAUAUGAACGAGUAGAUUUGAUAAUUACUUUGAGUUACUUAUUGCUAUUGUCAUCAUAUAUCUGUGUUGUCGUUUAUAUUGAUUUUUGACUGUCUUCUUCUAAGCUCGUCACUACUUUCAGCCCAAGGUUAGCUUUAUUACUUGUUGAGUACAUGGGGUCGGUUAUACUCAUACUACACUCUGCACUUGGAGACUUCUGGAUGUGGUGAUUGCUAGAGCUAUUCUAGUACUAGUACUUGGAGACUUCGAGGUAGCUGCUAUGACGCCUGCAGACCUUGACUCUCUUUCCUUUAUUUUCCCUUAUUACUGUGCUAUUGUCCAGAUAGUUGUACUAAGGAUUUGGUUUGUAUUUUGAUACUCAGUAGUGCUCAUGUACUCGUUGACACCAGAUUUUGGGGAUGGUUGUAGUAGUAUGGUUAUUAUUGUUACUAGAUAAUUAUGAUAUUUUCGUUGUUAUGUUAAUUAAAUCAAGUUUAUGCAAAUGCAUAGUUAUUAUGUGGCUAUUGGCUUGCCUAGCAAGUAGUGUUAGGAGUCGUCGCAGCUCCGGUGUGAGUUGGGUCAUGACAAGUUGGUAUCAGAGCCCUAGGUUGCUUAGGUCUCACGAGUAAUGUGCAAGUUUAGUAGAGUCUUGCGGAUCGGUAGGGAGACGUCUGUACUUAUCUUCGAGAGGCUACCGAACUAUUAGGAAAACAUCACUUUCUUGCAUUCUUUUCGUGUGGAUUUGUUAUUUCCAAAUCUUGAAAGUUGACUCUUCCAUUCUCUCACACAUGGUGAGGACACGUGCGACCGGAUCAGGCGGACGGCCACUAGUACCACCAGCUAGGGCCGCGAGAGUCUAGGGCCGCAGUAAAGGCUGAGGUACAGCUUGUACUACAGCCAGAGUAGCACCUAUGGAGCCACCAGUUGCUCCAGCUGAGGAGCAGGACCAGAUAUUGUCAAGCCACUAGGACUAGCUCAGGCACCAGUAGUGCCCAUUAUUAUCCAUGGCCUUCAGGAGGCCUUGGCCCAGAUUAUGACUGUGUACAUGAUCCUAGCUUAGGCGGUUUUGGUUCUAGCUGCACCAGCCACCACACAGACUGGGGGAGGUACCCUGGAUCCUGCCGCCCCUACUCCAGAGCAGCUACCUCAGGGACUUCAGACGCCGGGAGUACUACCAGUUAAGACGGUUGUUGCUGCCUUGGCCGAGGUUGUCCGACCUUUGAGUGAUGAGGAAUAGAAUAGAUUUGAGCGGUUUGGGACGCUUAAGCCUCCAGGGUCUAGUGGAGAAGAGUUAGAGGAAUCUCAUAGUAUUCUAGAUAGAUGUUAGUGGAUUCUUCGCACACUAGGUCUUUUGGACACCAUUGGGAUUGCAUUUACUACAUUUCAGUUGACAGGGGCAACCUACAUAUAGUGGCAAGCUUAUGAGUUGAGUAAGCCACCUGGUGCAGCAACGCUUGCAUGGCAUGAGUUCUCAGUUUUCUUGUUAGAGAUGCUUGUCCCACAGACUCGCAGAAAGAGUUGCGUAGGUAGUUUGAGCAGCUACGCCAGGAGGGUAUGACAGUGACUCAGUAUGAGAUGAGAUUCGCAGAAUUGGCUCGUCAUGCAGUAUGGUUAGUUCCCACUAAGAGAGAGAGGAUCAGGAGGUUCAUUGAUGGCCUCAACUUUAGUUUAGCUCGAGAGGCCGAGAUAGAUGUUAUAUUUGACCAGAUGGUCGAUAUUGCUAGUUGCUUGGAGCAGGUUCGCAAGCUUGAGUGCGAGGAGCGGGAGGGCAAGAGGCCCCAUGGUUUAGAUAGUUUCAGUGGUACCUCGUAUGGAGGUCAGUCACAUCACAAUAGAGGUCGUCCUUUUAGGCCCGCUUAGAUGGCCCAUCAGGUUCAUCGUGGUGCAUCAGUUACCAUAGUUCAUACAGUACUCGUCCGGUUCAGUCAUCUUUCAGUGCACUCCCAGCUUAGAGUUCGUACUGUGCUCCAUCAAUUCAGGGCUCAUCAGUAUGGGGUUCUUCCAGUGGUUAUUCUAGUUCUCGAGGUCCUAUUCAAGCCCCGCAGUCAUCCAUAGAUUGAGGUUGCUAUGAGUGUGAGGAGUUGAUGCAUGUGAGGAGGUUUUGCUCCCGUAUUAUUGGAGGUCCCGUGCAACAGAGAGGUCAGGCUAAUACAUCCGCACUAGUUACUACACUACCUGCUCAGCCAGCUCGGGGUGGGGCUUAGGAAAUUCAAGGUCGCCCUAGAGGGGGAGGCCACUCGAUGCUAUGCUUUUCUUUCCAGGCCAGAGGCAAUUACCUUUGAUGCUGUGAUCACAGGUAUUGUUUAAGUGUGCCACAUAGAUGCUUCAGUAUUAUUUGAUCCUGGUUCUAAUUAUUCAUAUGUGUCAUUAUACUUUGUUCGUUAUUUCGACAUGCCCAGUGAUUCUUUAGUUUCUCAUGUUCAUGUAUCUACGUUGUUGCACCCUAUUUUGCACAUGUCAAAAUAAGAUUCAACUAGUGGUUUCCCUGUUGUUGAUAAAGAAGAGUCGCCACCUAAUAUUUGAAGGUAUACUAGGGUGCCUAUUUGUUUAUUAGAUUAUUAUCCUAUUGGUCUACUAACCGGUGAGAUUUGGGUAAGGGUUCUUUUUCUUCUAAGGAGAAGGUAUUAGGCACCACCCAAAAUCUGCUUCAGGUAGCUCCUUAAAACUUAGGCUAGGCUUAGGGAAGUAGAUGUUUAUAUUUUGCUUAGUUCAGUGCUUUAAAGUUGAAACUAUUCUAAGUCUUGUUUUAAAGUCUACUUGCUUUGAAAGAAGGUGGUAUAUGUACUCUUAAAAAGGUAUAUGUUUUAUGAUGUUUUGUAGUUUGUAAAAAGGUCCUUUGAAAUGUUCACAUAUACAAAGUUGAAAAGGCUUGUAAAAUGCGGCUAUAUUUUAAAUGUUUGUCUUUUGAAAACAAACUGGUCAUCUGUACAACCUAGUAAAGUAAAGACUACUGGGAAAUGGACUUUGGUUAUACCUUUGAAAAUUGGUUCCAAUUCGAAGCUAUGUUUUUAAGGAAAGACUCAUUGAAAUUAUUUAUUCAUGACUGGAAGCUAUGUUGAUUUUAUUAGUUGAAAAAACCAGCCAUGUGAACACCUGUACAGCUCUGAUUCUUUUCGAAAGUGAAGGUUGUACGUUUUCAAAUCUGUUCAAACUUCAAAACUUCACUGAAAGUGGUUAGAGUUAAUAGAAGUGAAGUCCUGUAUUUGUUAAGAAAAUAAGUGACUGAAAUACUUUAAUAAGUAUGACAUAUGAACUUAUAUUUUUCUUUUAUUGUUUUAUCUAUGGGCAUUAGGUUUGCCUAGGUUCCUAAAAUGACUAAAGCACAAUAAGAGUGUUCAAUAAUAGUGUUAGUAUAAUUAUAUAUACAGAGAAUAAACAACAAGUUCGAUUUAUCUAAGAGCGAGAAAGGAAAGGGAAAUGGACUCGAAAUUGGGCCAAAGGAAAUGUUGGCCUAGCAGACUUCAAACACAGCAGUGGCAGACCUCGGAAACAUGGACCAUAAGCUAGAACUUGGACCUGAGCUCUAAAGAACUCAGCAGACCCAAAUUCGAACAGGCAAAUGAAGAUAUAGAGAAUACAUUAGUGAUGCCACAUGAGGCCCAACAAUAUAGGCUAUAACAUACAAAUGUGAUUGAAGAGUAUAGUAAAGUCAACAUGAGGUUCAACUAGACAAUGUUGUAACAAAUAGACAUUGUUAUAGUGAAAACCAACUCUUAUUUGUAUUAACCCUAAGAGGAUUAAUGAGGUUCAAUGAUUUAGAUAUUAGGACAAGGCCUCAUUCAUGUAUAAGGUACCCUUGGAAUCCUGGCACUUUAGAGUUCACAAGGGUCUCAAGGACCCCGAGCAGUACUUGUGCCAGGGAAGGGCACCUCAACCAUAAACUAGGUUUCACCCCAAAUAUACUUAAUCACUCACACUUACUUUUCCCCUGAGGUGUAGAUACAAAAAAGGUAUUUACUUAAUAGCUAACAUGAGAGCAAUAGUAAACACAAAGGUUCAAGUACAUAAGAAGCCAAGGAGCUACAGGGAAAUAUCAUCAAAGUGUAGAAGCAUGAUUACCUUAAGACCAUACUAUUAAUCUUAGGAUCAGAACCUAAACAUAUUGCAAGCACUUAUGAUAUUAUGAGGCAUACGUCAGAAUAUCUAAAAAGUUGUCACACAAUAAUUACACAAGGGAAAUCAACAAACUAUCAGUGGACUAAUCCAAGUUCAAAUGAGGGUAUCUAAUUAGAUAAUUUGAGCAUGAGUGAAUUAUAGAAGAAGAUGAAGGCACUUAUUAGUUUUGUGGUCUUAACAUUUCAGGACAUUUAUCUAAGAUUACAAAAUACCAACAACCAUUGCAGUAAUCUUCAGAAAUAGACAAAGGCAAGUGUACACACAAUCAAGGUCUUAUUAAGCCAAAGAUCUACACUAACAACCUUGUUUGACUAAGCUAAGGCAUCCUAGUAGGCCAAAUAUUCAGUUUUAAACUUAGUACAAACCUAGUAGCGUAAUCAUUAGUCUAUCAGGUCCCCAAUCAACAAUCCAGAUUCACAAAUAAGUCCCCUUUAAAAGAGUCAAGAUAUCAGCCAAGCAUGGUAUAAUGCUAAUGUUAAUAGGGUAAACAAGUAUGGAUGGAUUUGUUUAAUCUCAUAAGUAACAAUAGUAAAUUCCUCAUUUCAGAUUUUUGUAUCACUCAAACUUGUUAGGUCGUUAAGCCUGGCAGGAUUCAAUCUUAUCUUUGGCGAAACAGUUUCACAUAAAGAACAUAGUGGUAAAGGCAUGGACUUCCUCAGAUAUAACACAUGUAAAGAUUCACAAACAUUACAGAACAAACACAAAUAUGAAGGUUAACUAUGAUUACUCAAACAUGUAUACAAUGAGGUUCUUACAGAAGUUCGGAUUCACAGGACAUAUAAAGAAAGCAAAUGACAUGAUAACUAAGCUCGUGAGUUCUUUACUAAAAUUCAGGUUAUAGACACAGGUCUAUCUGAGUUAUUAAGAAUGUACAGCAUGCAUGAUUUUAGUAGUAGGAAGGUUAAAUAUAAUAUGAUAACAUGAUGAGAGCCACUAUAUUGCAGCAACCAUGAGCUCUUAACAAGACAUUAAAGGGUCUAAAACAUGGUUCAAUUAGAUUAGCUACAACUAGCAAAAUAUUCAUAUAAUCAUCAAAGACUUUUGGGCGAAAUACAGAAGUUCAGUAGGACUUAGAUCAUUUGUUAUAAGUAGCAUUUAUCUGGUAAAGUCCAUCAAGUUAAUUUAAAAAGAAUAACCAGUCAAUAUUAGGAUAAUCGCAGAUUAUCAGGAACAAUUAGGUCAAACAAUAAAAGUAACAUAUAAGAUCAAGACAUGAUAAUCAGUCACAGAUAAAUAACAUGUAUCAUAAACAAAGAUAAUCAACCGAAGGAAACAUCGCAAGAAUGAAACAACACAUACAAUCGAAGAAAUGGAGGUCGGUAUACACUGACCUUCUACGGAGCAGCAAACCAAACAAGAGCUUCGUCUAGCCAUUAAGGAAUCCCAACUCAAGCUCAAACAGUAAAGAAACUCAAAACCGAAGAAGGAAAAGAAAAAGUGAAAAAUCAGUGAGAAAUUCUAAAACCUUUUUAAUUCUCUUAGGCGUUGUUUGUUUUUUAUGUUCGUGUAUUAGGUGAGCCAUUAAAGCUCCAAUUUAUAAUGGCAUUCAACACCUAAUAUUCCGAUAUAUUUGAACUUAGAUAGUGGAAGAAGACAAUAGUCAAGAUGAUGAUAGCAAAUAGGUGAAAUGAUAGGUAACAAAUGGGAAAUGAUUUACUUGAGAAGAGGAAAUGGUCGUUGAAGGCGAAGACCCAUCGGACAAAGAUUCAAUGCCCAGAGGUCACUGUGUUUGACCUCUAGACAUCAAAUAAUCAUGAUGAAGCCUUAGAAUCCUUCAUGCAUGCUCUGAUUGAUAGCGCACAAGAGAAAUCAGAAGACUUGAAGUUUCAUCGUUGAGCUUAGGGUUUCAAAUUUUGGGGUUUUGAAUUUUAUCGGUGAUAAUGGCAAUAUCGACUGGAUUCGUGGAUCAUAGGGACGGAUAGGAAUUUCAGGUUUUAAUUGAGAUGACCUUGCACAAAAUUAAUGAAGGUUUUCGAAACGAUGGAGGUGUUGAGGAUGAAAGAAAUGAGAGAUGAUGGGGAAAGAAGGGUGGCAGGAUAUGGUCAAAAUGAUUUACGGUCUGGGGGCGUUUUGUUCGUUUAGGGUGAGAGAUGGAACAUGGGACAAUGGAUCAUUUUAUCAACGGCCCUGAUAAAUCAGGACAUAAAAAUUAAAGAAAGUAUUAUUAGGGAAAAUAUGGUGACUGUUGGAUCUGUGUGAUCCAACGGUGAGGAUAUAAUCUUGCAAGGAGUUUAAAUUAAUGGAAAAAUCAAAAAUAAACCCGGUCCAUUGAUGGUAUGGAUCGAUGACUAGGAUUGGGUGUGUUUGUUUUGUGAGUGAGUGGGACAAGUGACGUGGUAUAAUUCUAUUGGUUCUCAUAGGCUUGGGCGGAUCGCCAAGGUGAAAUUGAGGGGGAUUUCGGACCGAGUCAGAUGGGGAUAGGGCUGGUGUUUGGGCUAGUUUUGUUUUUACAAAUAGCCAAAUUGAGUUUGAUUGGGUCAUUGCAAUUGUAAACCUUUAAGCUUUAAUACUUUUAAAAUUAAGUUAAAUUAAACUUGAUUAAUCUUAAUUAAAUGUGAUGGAAAUAUAUUUAUCACAUACACUGUAAAUUACUGUAAUAAAUUGAUUAUUUAUUAAAAUACUUUAUUUAUUCAAACUAUAAAUUUAAUUUUGGAUUAUUUUGAUAAUAAGCGAAUUAAUUAACAAUCGAGGAUUAAUUUGUUAAAUUAAUUACAAAACUUGUGUAUCAAAAUAUACAAGUUAUUUUAAUAAUUUCAAAAAUAGUAAGGGUAAUAUAUUUUAUAAAUUUUUAAUACUAAUAUUAAUCCAACACUAUUAAUUACUAAUUUUCUAUUAUAUUUAUAUAAAAAUAGGUAUUAUUGAUUAGAAAAUAUUUUUAACACAUUUAUUGCAAAUUAUUAAGUAGAAAUAAAUUAAUUUUAAAAGGGAGGGUCAAAAUUGGUCGUCAAUAGUUGCCGCUCUUUGACCGGAGACGAUGAAAGAGCUUUCGGGCAAAGAAAUUGAACCAAGACCAAUUUUGUCCCGACUUCAAGGCAUGUAUUACAGGAAUGGUAUAUGGAUUUGGGGAACUUAUGAGUUGUAAGAUCAGGGAAGAUUAGGGAAGAUUUAGAGAAAGAUUUUAGGGGAAGGACUUAGAGAAAAUUAGGGCCGAAUUCUGGCUUCGAAUCGCCUACAUACCUCGGGCUUAACGAGGACCAGGUCUCAUGUAGUUCUGGAAUUAUGUUUCGGAGAGGGUGGCGCUUGUAGGAGUUGCCCUUGUAUCGUGUUCUGAAGAUAGUGCAAGAUGAGAAGAUCUUAUAACCCAUGAUGCCUUCACGGAUUGUGGCUUUAUUAGGAGACUUGAAAGAUUUGACAAUUUGGAGUUAUACUAAUCAGAUGGAGUUGGAGUUUGGAUCCUCAUCCCGCUUAUGAGUUUGUUGUCCCUCAUAGCGUGGUAGCUUGGUUUACUGCUUAGAAGAAGUUCCACGACACGAUGUUUGAUCCUGCAAAAGAAGAUACACGCAUACCCAUAUAUCGUAAUGCAGAUAUAUUAAGAUGUGAUGUAAAUAAUGCAGGAAUGAUGAUGCAUCGCUACUGUCUAGCCAUUAUUUGUGAUCGGGGCAACGGGAUAUUUGAAUCUGAAGUCUCCAAGCUCUGGAGCAUUAUGUGGGAUGUCGAUGAUGGGCCUUUGAUUUUGACUUGAUUGUUAGUCGGGCUGUCUACCAUUUCGCAGUUGUCGGAGCAUUAAGUCUCCACAUGAUAGGAGUAUCUCCACGUUAUGGGAGCAGUUAACUUGGAAUGUAAAAUAUCUCCGCACGAUGGGAAUAUAUGACUUGAAAUGUAAAAGCAUGUAAGCUGCAUAAAUAAAAUGUCAUAACAUUCAAGAUAAAAAAAAAGAAAUAAAAUAGCAUGCCCAAGAGAUACUCUUGACUGCGAAACUAAAUUACGGAUGUCGAUCGCCGGAAAGUAUGGAAGAAUUGGAUGGUCAAUCCUUCGAUUGGCGAAGUCAGAGGCGAAUUUGCAACUAUCUACUUAGAAUCUCUGAUAUGGCGGAGUGAUGGUGUGAUUGGUGAAAGUGCUCCAGUUGGCGGAGCGAAUAGUUUGUUAUGUACAAGGCUUCGCUUGGUGAAGCCAGCGGCUCGCUAUAUACAAGAUGCUCCGAUGGAUUGAUCAGAUAGUGUGCAAUAUACAAGGCUCCGAUUGGCGGGGUCGACGGCUCGAUAUAUACAAGGUACUAUGAUUGGUUGAACAGAUGGUUUGUUAUAUACACGGUGCUUCGAAUUUGUCGAAGACUUGGUUUUGGAAUACCUGCAGAGAACUUGAAGUUAAUCCCUAACCAUAUAAGAAAGUGAACUAAAUAAUAAAGGAGAUAUAGGAGCUCAUGAGAUGGUAGCGGGUCCGUCAUUGUUCCUAGUGUGCCCCAACAUUCUUUGAUUCUUGUCGAUCAUAAUCUUAAAGAAAAAUUCUUAGUAGAAGGGGGUGUUGGUUUGUGUCGAUCGCAGGCCUGGCCUUGCCCCGGAUUUGGUGGGUUAUGUCGUUAGGUUUGGUAGGUGAAAAGAUAGAAUUUUUCUAUAAAAACUUUGAAAAUCAUUAAUUUAUGGCAAAAAUAUCGUCGUUCCGGAUUAUGACAUGUUUAGAAGUUCCCUCUUACGCAAAUAUGGUUUUAUGGGUGAUUUUGUCCCAUUGAUGAUGGUCCUCGGAGAUGCCCCUGAUGGCGUAGCUUCUUGUUGUCGCGAUUGUGUCCUAUUCUAAUAAAUGAAUUACAAAGGCUUUCCUAGGUUAUUAUCAAAAAUAUUCAGAUUGCCUACGUAUCCGAACGGAAUCAGGUCUGAACGUAGUUUGAGGAUAAUAAAAGUGAUGAAUGAAUUAUGAUGAUGACCGAGCUUGACUCAUGUAGCCUAUGUAUCCAAAUGGAAUUAGGUCAAAACGUAGUUCACUUACAAUAGAUGCAAAAUGAUAAUGGAUUGAAAUGAAGUGGUCGAGUCUGACUCAGACUGCCUACGUAUCCAAAUAGAAUCAUGCCAAUAUGUAGUUCAAUUACAAUAGAUGACUGAAUCUGAUGUUGAUUGACUACGUAUUCCCGCCAAAGGAAAUCAAGUCGUGGCGUAGUUCUGAAUACAUAGAAAAUGAUAUUUGGAUUUUCUAUUACAAAAGAGGGAGGAAGAGAGAGGUAGAGACCGGACCCUAUGUUGGUUGCCUACGUAUCCCACCAUAGGAAGUCAGGUCUGGCGUAGUUCUAUUACAACUAAACCAUGAUUCUACUGUCUUCAAAUGUAGUAUCUCUUGAUUGCGUCUAAAUUGAUGGGCUUCGUGCUCACUCCGUCGUCCAUUUUUGCUAGGAUCAAUUCUCCUCCUAACAACACUCGAUGGACCACAUAAGUAACUUUCCAUUUCGGUGCGAAUUUUCCUUCGGCCUCAUAUUGAUGAGGGAAUAUCUUCUUCAAAACCAACUGCCCCGGUGUGAAUUACCGAGGUCUCACUUUUCUGUUAAAUGUGUUGGCCAUCCUAUUUUGAUACAAUUGACCAUGACAUACUACGUUCAUCCUCUUUUUGUCAAUGAGCAUGAGUUGCUCCUGCCUGACACGUAUCCACUUUGCGUCAUCUAACUUGGCUUCAUGAAUGAUUCUUAAAAAUGGUAUCUCAACCACUGUGGGUAUCACAGCUUCUGUUCCAUAUACCAACAUGUAUGACGUUGCCCUAGGGGACAUUCUCAUAGUGGUGCGGUAACCCAACAAAGCGAAGGAUAGCUUCUCGUGCCACUACUUGUGAUUGUCCACUAUCUUCCGUAAGAUCCUUUUGAUAUUUUUGUUGGUUGCUUCAACUGCUCUAUUCAUUUGCGGCAUGUAGGAUGUGGAAUUACGGUGGAUGAUUCUAAAUUUCUUGCAAAUCUCUCUCAUGGGAUCGCUGUGUAGAUUGGUUGCAUUGUUAAUGAUGAUUGACUCUGGGAUCCCAUAUCGGUAGACUAUGUUGUUACAGACGAAAUGUUUCACCACCUUCUUCGUGAUGUGUAUGUAGAAUCUUCGACCCAUUUGGUGUAGGCAUCGAUGGAUACCAGGAUGAAAUGAUGUCCAUUUGAUGUGGCGCGUUCUAUAGGUCCAAUCACGUCCAUGCCCCAAGCGGCUAAAGGCCAAGGAAAACCCAUUAUGUUAAGCUCAUUAGGUGGAACUAGGAUGAAAUCCAUGUGAAUCUGGCACUGGUGACACUUCUUCACGUAACGAAUACUAUCACUUUCCAUGGUCAUCUAAAAGUAUCCAGCCCUUAAAAUCUUCUUGGCCAAAGUGAAACUGUUCAUGUGAGGUCCACAUGUUCCUGCAAGUAUCUCUUCCAGUAGUCUCGUUGCUUCAGUGACAUCUACGUACCUUAACAGACCCAAGUCUGGGUUUCUUUUAUACAGGACUUCCCCAUUAAGGAAAAAGUGAUUUACUAUUCUUCUUAGUGCUCACUUCUGACCACUGGUGGCAUUCUCUGGGUAUUUUCUUGCUUCGAGGAACCUCUUGAUGUUGUAGUACCACGGCUUAUCAUUUGUCUCUUCAUCUACAUGGAAGCAGUUCUCGAACCUCUAUCUUGAUGGGGUCGAUGUAGUUCUUGUUUAGAUGCUGGAUCAUAGAUGACAAGGUUGCAAGAGCGUCAACGAACUCAUUCUGGAUUCUGGGAACAUGUUUGAACUCAAUCUUGGUAAACUUCUUACAUAUCUCUUUUGCGCAGUGCAGAUAUGGAAGGAUCUUGACAUUUUUGGUGGUUUAUUCACCUUGAACUUGCUGUAUCAGCAAAUCAGAAUCUCCUAUGACCAGAAGCUUUUUGAUGUUCAUGUCGACUGCCAUCCUUAUCCCAAGGAUGCAUGCUUCAUAUUUUGCCAUAUUAUUUGUGCAAGGGAACCAUAUCUUGCCUGAAGCUAGGUAAUGUUGUCCUGACUCAGAAAUUAAGACUGCCCCAAUCCCUAAACCUUUGAAAUAUUCCGCUCCAUCAAAAAACAUUCUCUAUCCUGGGUAUGACUCUGCGAUAUUCCCCUGCGAACAACACUUCUUCAUCUGGGAUGUAUGUGGUGAGUGGCUCGUAAUCCUUGUCUACUGGGUUCUCUGCGAAAUGAUCGACCAAUGCUUGACCUUUGAUAGCUUUCUGCGUCACGUACAUAAUAUCGAGCUCACUGAGGAGAAUUUGCCAUUUGGCCAACUUUCCUAUAGGCAUUGUCUUCAGGAAGAUGUAUUUGAGCAGUUCAGGUUGGCAUAUUAGAUGUGUGGUUUACGCUGAUAGAAUGUGCCUUAAGUUCUGAGCGAUCCAUGUCAAAGCACAGCAUGUAUGCUCUAACAAAGUGUAUAUGGAUUCAUAAGGUGUGAACUUCUUGCUCAGGUAAUAGAUAGCUUGCUCCUUCCUUCCAGUCUCGUCGUGUUGUCAUAACACGCAUCCAAAUGCAUUAUCCAGAAUGGACAAAUACAAUAACAGUGGCUUUCCAGGUUCGGGGGGAACUAACACUCUUGGAUUUGACAAAUACUCCUUGAUUCUGUUGAAAGCUUUCUGACAUUCUUCUUUCCACUUUGUAGCAGCAUCUUUCUUCAACAACUUGAAAAUAAGCUCACAGAUUACCAUUGACUGGGCUAUGAAUCUGAUGAUGUAUUUUAACGUACCGAGGAAGCUCAUCAUGUCCUUCUUGCUUUUGGGUAGUGGUAGGUCUUUAAUGGCCUUGAUCUUUAAAGGAUCCAACUCUAUCACGUUCAUGCUGACGAUGAAACCUAACAGCAUUCCUGCGUGGACUCUGAAUGUACACUUUGCAGGAUUCAACUUUAAAUUGUACCUCCGUAAACGUUCAAAGAACCUCUUUAGGUCACUCAAAUGAUCAUCACUUUUUCGAGACAUGAUGAUGACAUCAUCCACAUAUACCUCAAUCUCCUUGUGGAUCAUGUCAUGAAAGAGGGUCGCCAUGGCCCUCGUGUAGGUAGCAACAACAUUUUUGAGACCAAAUGGCAUGACAAAAUUCGAUCCCUUAUGUUUCUGUCCAGUUUCACAUCUGCGGACAUGUCACGACCCAAAAUCCACUAUAGGUCGUGAUGGCGCCUAACUCCGCCGUCAGGCAAGCCAGCGGUGAUUGAUCAAUUUAAUUACUCUUUUUAUUACUUUCAAAAUCAUAAAUUUUAAUAAGGAAGGAAAUUUACACUUUUAAAUCCACGGGAACGUACAAAGAUUUUAGUUUAAAAGAGAAAUGAAAGGCGAUUAUAAUAUACAGAACCGUAAGCAUCAACUAGUAUAUCCCAAAACCCGGUGUCACAAGUGCAUGAGCAUUUACUAGGGAGUACAACAAUAAUAAUACAACAUCUGUCUGGAAUGUAAACAAGACAGAAUAAAGUAAAUGGUACGAUGAAGAAUUUGUGGGAUGCGAUGCGUAGCCUGGAAUGCAGCUCACCAUAAAGUCUCCUUAGCAGCUGCGCCUACGCGCCAAGAUGACCACCAAAUGAACUUGUCGGAUCCUGCACAUUUAGUGCAGAAGUGUAGCAUGAGUACUUAAAUCAACGCGUAUCCAGUAAGUAUCUAGCCUAACCCCGGAGAAGUAGUGACGAGGAGUUGACAUCGACACUUACUAGUGGUCUAAUAAAUCAAUAUGGUAAAUUAUAAAUAGAUAAGAACCACAACAGUAGUAAUGAGGUAAAUCUGUAGCUAACACAAUCUCCAAAAAUUUCUUUUAACGAUAUCAGUUUCUCAUCUUUUAUUCUAUCUCAACAGCUGAGAAAAUAACUAGUGCCAAUACCAAAUAAAUAAGAAAUACCAUGUAAAAUGCAAGGCAUCAGUGGAAGGAAAGAUCUCAUGAAUAUUUGGAUUGCUAGGGAUAUAACGCACGAUUAAGCCAAAAUCGUACGGCCAGAUUUCAGAAAGAAUAUGAUACUGCCGAGGCGAACGGCCCGAUCCCAUCAUAACGUGUACACUGUCGAGGGUCGAGCGACACGAACCAUAGAUUCAUCUAUUAUACUGCCGAGGUGAACUGCCCACUCCCAUGAGAGUGUGGUACAUAAUCCAAUCGAGGCCUUCUGCCCGCUCCACAAGAAGGGAAAGGAAUUAUUGGAUUACGAGACACGAGCUUACGGUACAGUAUAUGAACACAAGGUGAGUAUAAACUUUUCCGUUUCUCAAAUAACAUGCCAACAACUUAAGGUAAUAAAGCUCGGCCUAAUAUAUAUGUAUAUAUUUCUAGAUCAAGUUCAAUUAUAAUUUCAAUUAGUUAAGCCAGCAGAAUGAAUUCAAAUAUUUCAAAUAUUACAUGGAAAAGUCCUAAGUCUACCCGGACAUAAAUAUUCUUUAGCUGCGUACGGACUCUCGUCACCUCGUGUGUACGUAGCACCCACAACUAAUAGCACAUAACUAUUACAUCACCUAGGGGGUAGUUUCCCCCUCACAAGGUUAGACAGGAGACUUACAUCGCUCCAAAGUUCCAUGACCGGCUCCAAUGCCUCUCUAACACCUCAAAUCAAAGCAAAACGUCUCGAAACUAGUCAAACAACGUGUAAAUCAAUCAAAAUAUACUCUAAUGCUUACAAUUUAACAAUUUAUAACAAUUCCCAACUCAACUCGAAAAGUCAAUAAAGUCAACCCUCGGGCCCACAAGCCCAGAUUCCAAAAUUUUCGAAGCUAAACUUUACCCAUAACAUUACGAAUUCAAUAUGUGAUUUAUUCCCAAUUCCAUGUCCAAUUUUGUGGUAAAAUCCAAAAAUACCAAUUUCUAGGCUUCCCUUCAAAAUCACACAAUUUCUACUAAUUUCCCUGUUUAUAUCCAUAUAUAAUCCAUGUAUUUCACUAACAUUAUGUGGGAAUUACUUACCUUGCAAUGGUUGAUGAAAAUCUCCCCUUGAAGCUCUCCAAAAAUCGCCCAAGCUAAGAGAGAAUGAAAGAAAAUGGGCCAAAUCCCGUAUAAAAAUCAAGUCUGCCCAGCGUUGUUUCGCAUAUGCGGUCCCCUAGUCGCUUUUGCGACAGCCGCUUCUGCGGCUUCAAUCUCGCACCUGCGAGAACCCAGGCCAGGUCGCCAGCCACAUCUGCGGUGCCUGUUGUGCAUCUGCGCCCCCACUUCUGCGCUGCCUCCUCCGCAGAUGCGGUUCCGCUUCUGCGGCGAAACGACCGCAUCUGCGGUCCCAUCAUUGCCCGACUAAAAUCCGCUCCUGUGCUUGCCUGGCCGCAUCUGCGGCCCUUUUUCUGUAGGUGUGAUUGCACCAGUACUCAGGCCCUUCAACAAUACAACAAAGCACCAAAGUGAUCCGCGACUCGUUCGAAACACACCCGAGACCCCCGGAACCCCGUCCGAUCAUACCAACAAGUUCCAUAACAUAACACGGACCUGCUCGAGGCCUCUAAUCACAUCAAAUAUCAUCAAAAUUGUGAAUCAACAAACGAAACCUUUCUUUAAAGUUUCAAACUUUUAAAUUUUGCCGAACGCGUCCCAAUCAUACUUAAACAUUCCGGAAUGACGCCAAACUUUACGCACAAGUCAUAAAUCACAAUACGAACCUAUUCCAAGGCUCGGAAUCUCAAACAGAUAUCGAUAACACUAAAGCCUACUUCAAACCAAACUUAGGAAAUUCUUAAACCUUCAAAAUGCCAACCUUCCAUGAUAAGCGCCAAAAUUCUUCCGGACCACCCGAUAUUCAACCCGAAUAUAUGCCCAAGUCCGAAAUCAUUAUACGAAUCUAUUGGAACCUUCAAAUCCUGAUUCCGAGAUUGUUUACUCAAAAGUCAAACCUUAGUCCAUUCUUCCAACUUAAGUCGUAAUACAUGAAGUGAAGCUUGUCAAGGCCUCAAACUGCCGAAUAACACGCUAGAACUCAAAAUGACCAGUCGGGUCGUUACAUUCUCUCCCACUUAAACAUAUGUUCGUCCUCAAAUAUGCCAAGAACUAUUUCGUAGUUGUCCAAAAUCACUGUUUAAUUCCUCGCGCACCUACCCAUGCCACCACAACCCAGUUGAGCACAUUAGCUCGAGCCAGACUAAAAAUCCUCCCUUUUAUUUAGUAAAUAAGCCUUAGAACCAAAUUCCAACCUUCGAAUUUCUCUACAAGACAUGAUUCUAACAUUCGAACACCGUAUCAAUCACUACACACUGUAAUGAAGCAUGAUCAUGCACCUAUGCUGAAAUCACACCAUGCACCACAUAAGUCGGUUGCUCAUAAUAACAUCCUCCAACCACAAUAGCUGGAAUUUCACGAAUCUGAUGCACGCAAUACACCUCAUAACGCAUAUGAGCCAUGUUCCAACUCUCGCAAUACUUCCAUGAUGGAAGAGAUGUGUAGAAACUCAUAACCACGUGCCGAAUCAACAAAUCAUGGAGUCUCUCCUACAGAUAAGGACCAUUACCUCAUUCUAAACUGAAUAACGAUAUUUGCUUUUUAAUAUAUCUUAUACAAAUUUGAUUGCACUAAUGUUAGGUCCAAUAAUCUCGUCUCACCCAGUACAAGUUGCUCAGGCAAUAAGCCACCUCAAAACUGACCAAGAUCUCAUAUGACGCCAUCAAUGCGCCGACAAGCCACAACUUGAAUAUUACACAUAAAGAGGAACAAACUCUGGAAAAGAACUACCCAGCCCGCAUAACGAAUAAAAUGGUCGAACAGAUUCUAUGAAUCCUUCUCAAAGAAUGAGAAACAAAAUACACAAGAAUAGAUAAAGGGAACUGUACUCAACAUCUCACUGUUGCGGCGUGCAACCCGAUCCACACAUGAUAUCGUUGCGGUGUGUAACCCGAUCCAAACAACAUACUCGUGGUGGCGUGCCACCCGACCCACACAUAAUAAUAAAUAAGGAAAUACCCAUCAAGCCAUAAUGCUUACACCUACGAAAUACCCAAAUAUCGACCACAAGCAUGCCAAGUGCAAAAAUACAACCCUGGGAGACGGAUAGCGCCAUAUGCUACAAAACCCAAGCACGACUAUGGUGAAAUAAAUGACAUGCAUCUCGAGAGUCAUCUUGCUCAUAUAAUACGACAAGCUACACGAGACCAGAACACUUGUGCGAAUAAUCAAGUCGUCUCACAACUCACAUGGCACAAUAGAGUAUUACAUGGAAUAGCUGACGACAGGAAUAACAUCCAAUGCCCGAAGACUCCUCCAUAAGCAAUGCUAUGCUAAAUUAACACAUCCGUCCUGAAGUAGAGCACACAUUCACAUUAGACCCAUCAACGGACCCCAAGCCGAUUUUGAUCAUCCCACACUGGGCCAACAGCCUUUCAAGGAUCCACAAUGGCCCCAUUCAUGACACACACGAGCAGCCAUCCCAAUCCGGAACAAACUCCCACAGUUCAUAACAAAAGGGAUAGAGUGCCUCCCAGGCAUAAAAUCCCACAUUAAUGAUAGUACCAGAAUCUUCAUGCUUGGUUUCAAUCUUUAACAAUCAAGUGACUAACAUGUCACACUUAUACAGAUUUCCUUGUGUGAUACGCUCCCACGACCUUCCGCACCAGGUAGCAAGGUCUGCACCUCCAUACCACCAACAGUGUUAAUGCUAUAAAGCAAAUCGAGAAUCCGCAAAUCAGUACACAAAGCCUCUUACGCAGGACACCGUUCUCGGGUGACACUAAAGAAAAAUACCAACUUACUCUAAACAUCUGAAUUCUUUCCUGCUCAUCCGAGCUCAUGACAUUCUUGUCAACACCGAACCAUAACCUUGGUCCUCAACUUCAAAUUCCCAUGCUGCACACUAUACCUAUCAUGCCGCUACGCGAGAGUACAAGAAUUUCAUCAUAACUCCUGAACCACCAAUAGAAUAAACACUUCAUCGUCUAGACCCUAUCACUCAACACAUUUCAGAGGAACGAUGGCAACACGCAACCGAAUUCCCAUAACCGUAGAAAAUACAAACCUCAAGUUAAUGUCUAAACUACCAUAACUCUUCCGGGAUCCAUCUACACAUAACGGGCCAUUAUAAUCAAAUACCUCCAAAUCAAUCAAAUUACGGCGGCUGUCAAGACUGCACGUACCACCACAAUUCACCUGUAUAACAUUAACACGCCGAAGGAACUGAUCAUUGCCUCAACCAUGCUAAUUCAAAUCAUUAUCAACCGACCUAACUUCCUUCGUUUUACUCUUGACCUGCCUUAGAAAUAAUAAUAGCUCCAUUCAAAAACAUAACGAAACUCGAUCAACACUCAUCCUGAGUGACCCAAAUCACGAGAUCACGUUGUCUCAAUACCCACGGCAAAAACUCGAUCUUUAACCACACAACGGACCCAAAAUCCUUAGACACCACACUUACAUCCUUGAACCCAUUAGAACCACUAUUAAGAGCCACCCACUCUGUCCUGGUCCCAAGUAUAACCAAACUCCAACGCUCUGCUAGCACAUGAACACCCUCUCAAAUAAGAAACCGGCCUAAUUCUUUUCCUUGUACAUCACAUCCACAAGAAGCAUAAACUUUGAGUCUUCCCAAAACAGCACAUGAAUCGAUGAGGCGAAGUAUAGCAUACAUUCAUCAAGUUCUUCGCUCGAAUUACCCAUGAUAUUUUAUUUUUCUUAGUCAUAAUAACCCACCAAUGCACCGAUAACCAGAAAUCUCACAAGCAGACAACCAUGCGCUCCAAUCGUAGAUGGUGGGAUCCCCCACAUAGCUUUAAGCUACAAUUACAUAAAUCUAGAACCCGCAAAGAUUCUUCCUUCUCAAUUACCAUGGUCUCGCACAUUUACCCCCCCAAAUUUCUUGAAAUAUUUUGCUAAACGUUUCAUGAACAUUCCGAAUCAUCAGCCACAAUCACAUAUUCGACCUCUUACCGGCUAGCAAGUAGAAUUCUUCGUAGAAACUUCAUCAAACUCACGCAUCUGCUGACCUGCUCACAGGAGAUAUCCCACCUGUGGAAUUUCCAUACUGACAUCUUCCAACGACGCUGCACUGUGCACAAUUACCACGAAAUUAGUAAAGCCUCCGAAGCCCAUACUCAUUAGCCAGCUAUAAAAGUUGGUUCAUUCCCCAUAGUCAUCAACUGAAAGUUCGAAAAUACAUUCCAAACUCGAAGCCACGUUUCACACCUCUUCAUUUCUAGCAAACUCCCCUCUGCCACAAUCAAGCUUCCUCCGUCCAAUUGCCACCAUCCAAAAUAAAACGCAUAGGCUCAGUCAUUAUCCACCAUGAUUCCCAAAUCACUCUAAACUUUCCUCAAGGCAAGUGGCUUUCCUACCACAGAAUCCAUAUACUACUCUGCCACUCCCACGUCGGUAAAGUGAUGAAAGCUCGAAAAUGAGAUGUUACAUCCCGUAUUUUCGUACUGUCGCGCCCCCAUUUUUAACUCGCGAAAAGCGGGCUUCGACACGUGAUAACUCCUUUUAGAUUGGGAGAUAGAGUGAUAAAGGAGAAGAGUCACCACCUAAUGAUUUUUAAGUUUUGUUAGGGCACCUAUUAUGCAGAUAACUCUGUUUGACUAGUCAACACCACCAAAGAUCGGGUAAGGGCUUAAGUUACCUCAAAGAGAAGGUGUUAGGCAUUCCUCGAGGUCCACAACUGUGGGUCCCGGCCAAACUUAAGAUUAUGUGGAUUACGAUUAAGCUAGGUGAUCAAAUAAAUAAAGGGAAUUCAGAAGUCAAAGAACUUUAUUACAACAUGAUUAAUACAGAUCUUAAUGCAAAUAUAGGGAUACCACUAUUUAGAUCUAAUAACAACAUAUAAAGAGGAGGGGGGUCCUAAGUUUUUUAGCCUAAAGGAUCACCACGUGCAACAUAAAUAAUACUUCGUAACUCCCUCAAGAUGGGGUGUUACUCAUAUUAUUCAACGGGCACAGACUAUCAUCUCCUGCUACCCCUAUUACUAUGUUAAAGUUGUUACCUAAAAACGUUCUAAUUCAAUUAUAUGUCGUACUCUAUGCGUGCACUACCCGUCCCAUACCUAUGGUCCAGGAGGUAUUGGACCUUUACUUUGGAUGGUUCUAGACCUCACUUAGGCUGCUCAGAAAUGUCGGAACUAGGCGACAUACAAAACACAUUGGACUUCAAGUACGGCAGUCAAGGCUCAAGUUUGCCUCCACACAUAAGCAACAAAUGCACGCAAGACAAAUUGUAUGUUAAGCAGUUCAGAAUUAAGAACUCAAAUCCAUAUACACAUGAUUUCUAUGUGUCAAGGCGUGAAGGCAUGCAAGCAGUUUCAGAAACCAAGUGUUGCCCAUAGACAAGAUUGUACAGUUAUCACAUAUUGAUUGUUGAAAUUGCAGAUUUCCAGUUAUUAAUCCUGUAGAUAUUGCGUCUAAGUGAUUUAUGUAGUAAAGACAAUGGAAUCUAUCGGGAGAAACCCAGAAUUACUCAUGCUUUUGAUAGUGGUCUAAAUGAACAAUAAACAAUAUUGAGAGAGGCAUCAUUAAAAGUUAUUAAGGCGAAUUGUGGUAUCCUAUAGGCAGGAUCUUUAACAAUUGACGCUUGGAACUUAUUUUAUUGUUAUACUUAGUCCUAUAGGCAUGGUUUCUAGUGAACAGUGCGAUACAGUAGCAAAUGAAAUGAUCCAAAUCCUAUAGGCAUGAUUUCUAGUUUAUAUAUUGCAACAGUGCAAAUUGAAGAAAAGUUCAAUGAUAUUUAUUUCCUAAGGGCAUGUUUUCUAACAACAUGUACCAAUAAGGGUAAUUGAAGCCUUUGAGGUCAUGCUUUGCUAGUAGACAAGUAGUGUGAGUGUGUGCUUCUCCUAAUGGCAUGAUUUCUAUAGUGUACAUAGAGAGUGAACGACAUAUAUAGUAAACACAUUAUUAAGUCCUAUAGGCAUGUUAUCUACCCAUCGCAUGUAAAUAUUAUACCCCAUUCCCUUUUACUAACAACCCCAAUUGUUUAUACAAUGAUUAUUACAGGCCCAAUAAUGAGUAAAAGUAACAGUGUUACAUAACAUUGAUAAGAGGCCCACAGCAGGCCUAAUAAAUACGCAGCAUUGCCUGGGCCUUCAAUAGCUCUUACACAACAUACCCAGGCCUUCAACAAAGAGCCACAUUCAAUACAUGACUCAGGGAUCCAUAGAGGAGUCCAGAACCAGUUUACUCAACCAUGGCACCAAGUGUUGCACCAUUUAAAUGAGCCAAUUCAAGUACACAGCCCAUAACAUGGGGAAGUAGAGUGAAUAGGAACAGUUUGAGAUUGAGGGAGUGACUAAGUACCAAGCCCUAGUGUGUCAGAGUUCACAAGGGUCUCAAUUAGACCCCGAGCAGUGCUCACACUAGGGAGGCCAAUAAUAGAACCUAGGUAGCCUUGGCUUUCAGCCGGCUAAGAAUGAAGAGUUCAGAAUAGCAUCAGUUGCCAGUGAGGAAAAUGGACAGAAAUUAGGAGAUACAUUCAUAUCCUAAAGUAGAAAUAGCCAAAUUGAGCAUAUAGAGUAUUAAUCAAAUAGGCCAGUAGGUUCAGCAGGACAACAAAGCACCACAUAGAUGGCCUCAUAUAGAAAGAAAUUGGGGAAGAAAUAGGUUUGCAAGAUAUACAUAUGUUAUCAUUCAUGACAUUAAACCAAUUGAGACCUAAGAGGUUCAGAUUAAGCUAAGCAUGCAUCUUAGGGUCAUGCUAAUAAGUAUUUAGACAUUGUGAUAAACACUGGAAGAGACAAGGUAUCAAAUGAACAAAAGACAGACUAGAAACAUAUUAGCAUGGAAGCAAGAUCAUAGUCGAUAGAAAAUGAUUUUAAUACAAAUUGCAACACAUUGUACAUGCAAGACGGACAUUGUAGAGAUUCAGGACAGUGUGUGAUAGCAAACACAUGUAGGUAUUCUGGGAUUAAUAAAAUAGACUAACCUACUAGAGAAGAUCUAGGUUAUGUCAUAAAGCAAAAUAGUUCAAACAGGGUAGAGAGAUCAAGUUGAGAUGACUGUCAAGAUCUUAGUCAAUCACAAAUGUGGUAGGGGGAUCAUGCUGAGUGACAAAAGAGCAUGUGAACAUGUCACAAUUACCAUAGGAAGUUCUAACACAAGUAUGAAGCAUUCAUUAUAGAGAUUAAGGACAAAGCAAGUAAGUAUGUAUUAGGGAAUAUCCAGACACCCAUACACUUAAGAGGAUCAGAUUAUCCAAGUUGGACUUAGGCAUACUCAGAACUAGUAGUAUUAGGAAGAAGUUAGAUGCUAAAAGACUUAGAACAAAGUAGAAUUAACAAAAUCGGGCACAAAAGUAAACUAGAAAAACAUAUUAAGCCAGGAAAUUCAGAGGCGAGAACACAUGCAAAUCGAAGGCACAUAGGGAUGAAAUUGUAAGAGUCAAGUAGCUUACCAGUUAACGGACAACAAUAAAGAAUAAAAAAUCCACAAGAACCCAGAAACCUCGAUGCGUCAAAGUUCCCAAGAGCUUCGAUGAACUCGGGGCAAUGCUCGCACCAGGAACAGGUAUCAAAAUGCUAAUGGCCUUGUCUUUCAGCCGGCCAGUAUAGAAUACCAAGCAAGAGAGUAGCAAAGACCCAAAUUUUAGUAAGAAUCAAUUCUUUUCCGUUCCCCCUCAGAAGGGAAAAUGAGGGGGUUUAUGUAGCAGUCAAAAAUUGAGCAAACACACAAGCAAACGGAGUAAAUUAAGCAACAAAUAAGUAAAGAAAAAAUGCAAAUAAAUUUGAAAUCGAUUUAAGAGAGAAAUUCGGUAAACCCUAGUUUUUGAGGGAAAGUGUAAAUCAGCAUAAAUCCAAAAGAAAUCGGACUCACACAGUGUAGAAUCAGACGCGUGUAAAUGAAAUACGGUCCAGAUUCAAGAAAUAGGACUCAUUCGGAUAGAAUCGGAGAGGUAGUACUUGCCAUGUUCAGGCAAGUACUAGGUGAUUCUAUGGAGAAUCAACCAGUAGCUGAAACACACAAAUAUGGUAAGUAAAUAAGAGGAAAAUCCCAUUGUAGCCGGGAUUAGGAGAAAAUUUAUGGAAGGCGGCGAUUAGGGUUUUUGGUGGGGGAGGAGCGUUUGAGGGCGGCUAGACAGAGACAAUGGUCUCUAGGGUUUAGGGAUUGGGUUAUAAGAGAAGAGUGGUUGAGGGUUGUGAGUCGUUGAUCAUUCUUGAUCAAAGGUUAUGGUUUAAGGGGGUCUGGGUCGGUUUUGGACUGGGCAGGGUUGCCUGGGAUUGAGCUUGAGGUUUUGGGCCAGGGAUUUGGGUUUGUCUGGUCUGAAAAUAACUCAAAAUUGGGCUAGCUCUUUUAAGCACGUAUAAUUUAGUAAAAUAAUUUAUAAAAAUAAUUAGUAAAUGAGUGAAAUAUUUUUUAUGCACUAAAAUGAUUAAUAAUAAUGAUUUAACAUUAUAAAAAUAUAAAAUACUAGUUUUUACACAAAUAGAAUAAAUAAGGAGCAUUUGUAUAUGAAUAUAGGCUAUUAUUGCAAAAUUAAAUAAAUAGCUUAAAAUGUUAAUGUAAUUAUAUGGAAUGAGAUAAAAUGUUUGAAACAUAUAUUAUAGGUGCAAAAUAAUUAUUUUAGGUAACUAAGUCAUUACAAAAUAAUUUAAAAGGAUAAUUACUAGUUAUUUAAAUAUAAUUUAAACACAGGAAAAUUAAUUUAAAGCUCUGAAAAUUAUGGAAAAUUAUAGAAAAUGCUUGUAUAGGUUUGUAAACUAAAUAAUGAUGCAAAAAUGCUAUUUUGAAAGUAUAUAUAUUUUUUGAAAAAUAUGAGGGCAAAAUUGUGUAUCAACAACUGCCCCUCUUUACCCGGGAAUGAUGAAAGAGUUAUCGGGUAAAGAAUAUGAUGACCAAUUUUGGCCGAAUUGAGCAAGGGAUGGUGUGAUUUGAAAAAAUGGGGGUUGAUCCCUGGUUCCUGAGUUGCCUAUAUAUUAGGCUGUGUGUAGUUCUGGAUCCAACGGUGAACUCUACCGAUAGAGUUAUUAUAGGAACGGUCGUAUGCUUCGGAAAGGGUUCUUUUGGGUAGGACAAUAUCAGAUGAAUUUGCGCGAAAUCAUGAAUGUGAAUCUGAAAUGUUAUGGAUGUAUCUCAAAACGAGUAUCUAAACGAUUAUCAAGUAAAAAUGGGUAACUAAUGGUGGCUGGCUGCAUUUGAAAUAGUUGUAGGAUGUGAAUGUUGAACGGAAACCGGAGCGAAGAUUGCUCCCUUUAGGAGAACGGUCACUUCCUGGAUUACCUGCAAAACUUAAAACACGAUGCAUGCAAGUAUAUAUGGAUUAUUGCGAGAAUUUAAACAUGAUGCGAAUUCCCUUUGGACCAUGAAAGCUGUCUUUGGAUGGUGAAGAUGAUGUCCUUAUACCAUGAUGUCCUGGGUCAUGAAUCAUGUGAUAAGGGAUUCGCAGGCCAUGAAAUGAUGUCCUCGGGCCAUAAAAAUGAUGCCUCUAAACCAUGACGCCUUUGAAUAAUGAUGUGCAAUACUGAGAGAUCCUCAGGCCAUAGAAUGGUGUCUUCCGACUAUGAGGAUAAUGCCUUCGGACUAUGACGCCUUUGGAGAAAGAUGGCAAUGUUUCAGCCCAUGAGAUGCAAAGAUAAGAUGCUACAUCAUAUGUAAAGCGAAACAGAGCUUGGGCAAUGCUUAGCUGCAGGGGAAUAGAAGACAGUGCUAGGUCUUAAAUAGCAUAAUGGAGAUAGUAUUUAAUCUUGAGGAAAAGGCAGUGCUUAGCCGUAUGCAAGAGGGGGAGGCAGGGCUUAGCCUCAUGCAAAAUAGGAGACAGUGCUUAGUCUCAUGCAAGUAAGGGAAGCGGUGCUUAGCUCCAUGCAAAAUAGGAAACAAUGCUUAGUCUCAUGCAAAGAAGGCAGUGCUUAGCCUUGUGCAGUUAAGGAGACAAUGCUUAGCCUUAUGCAGUUAAGGAGCGAUGCUUAGCUCGUGCAAUAGGAUACAAUUGCUUAGUCUCAUGCAAAGAAAGGAGAUAAUGCUUAGUCUCAUGCAAGGAAAGGCAGUGCUUAGCCUUAUGCAAUUAGGGGGGCGGGACUUAGCCUCAUGCAAAAUANNNNNNNNNNNNNNNNNNNNNNNNNNNNNNNNNNNNNNNNNNNNNNNNNNNNNNNNNNNNNNNNNNNNNNNNNNNNNNNNNNNNNNNNNNNNNNNNNNNNNNNNAAUAUAGUAGUAUGCGAUAUCAAGUAAGUUAGAUGAACCAAUGACUGUGACAAAUUUUAGAAACAUUGCAACUUCUUUACUUUACAAUUUUGAGGGUCCUCCUCAAAAUUCUUCCCCAGUUUAAAAGCAAUUCUUCGACUGCUCUGUGUAUGACGAAGUUUGCUGGACUUGCUUCAGAAUUUUGAGGGUCCUCCUUAAAAUUCUGCCCCAGUUUUUGACCAUGGCAAAAUGAAGAUCUUAUUGAGAUGUGACCGAACCCACAUGGCUGCCUAUGUAUCCCCCCUUAAAUGGGAAUCAGGUCAAGCAUAGUCCAGUUACAUCAAGUGAAGAAAUGUAAACAAUCCUAAACAUAAUAUCUCUUGACUGCAUCUGAGUUGAUAGGUUUUGGCCAAAUCUCUCCGUCCAUCUCUGCAAGUAUGAGUGCUCCUCCUGUUAGUACUCUGUGAACCAUGUAGGGGCCUAGCCAAUUGGGUGAAAAUUUCCCUUUGGCUUCAUCUUGAUGCAGGAAGAUCCACUUUAGAACCAACUGCCCUGGUGUGAAUUGUCUGGGCCUGACCUUUUCUUGAAAGCUCUGCACAUUCUGUUCUGGUAAAUUUGACCAUGAAUAUACUGCGUUCAUUCUUUUUCCGUCAAUGAGAGCCAGUUGUUCGUAACGACUUCGUAUCCAUUCUGCAUCACUGAGUUCAGGCUCUUGUAUUAUUCUCAAAGAAGGAAUUUCUACUUCGGCGGGAAUGACGGCUUUAGCACCAUAGACCAGCAAAUAAGGAGUUGCCCCAGUUGAUGUGUGAACCGUGGUGCGAUAUCCAACUAGGGCAAAUGGUAUCUUCUCGUGCCAUUGUUUGUGAUUAUCUAUCAUCUUCCUUAGUAUCUUUUUGAUGUUCUUAUUGGCGGCCUCCACAGCUCCAUUCAUUUGUGGCAUGUAUGUUGUGGAAUUCUUAUGCUUGAUCUUGAAGGUUUCACACAUGGAUCUCAUCAUAUCACUAUUAAGGUUGGCGGCGUUGUCGGUGAUGAUUGACUCUGGUACCCCGAAUCGACAGACAAUACGAUCCCAAACGAAAUCUGCUAUGACCUUCUUAGUUACAGCCUUGUAAGAUGCGGCUUUAACCCAUUUUGUGAAAUAGUCUAUGGCCACUAGAAUGAACAUGUGCCCAUUUGAAGCGGUGUGUUCGAUUGGACCGAUGACAUCCAUCCCCCAAGCGGAGAAAGGCCAAGGUGCACUUGUUGCAUUGAGUUCAUUGGAUGGCACUCGUAUCAUAUCAGCAUGUACUUGGCAUUGAUGACACUCUUGGACUACCUGAUGUAAUCUAUUUCCAUAGUCAUCCAAAAAUACCCUGCUCUUCAUAUCUUCUUAACUAAGAUAAAGCCAUACAUGUGUGGUCCGCAAGUUCCGGCAUGUAUUUCUUCAAGCAAUUUGGAUGCUUCCUUGGCGUCGACACACCGUAAUAACCCUAGAUCUGGAGUCCUUCUGUACAGAAUCCCUCCGCUUUGGAAUGAGUGGUUAGAUAAUCUUCGGAGUGUGCAUUUCUGAGUAUGAUUUGCGUGCUCCGGGUAUUCUCCUUUUGCCAAAUAUUCUUUGAUGUCAUGGAACCAUGGAUUUCCAUCAAUUUCUUCUUCAACGUGAGCACAAUAAGCUGGCUGGUUAUGAAUCCCUACCGGGAUAGGAUUGAUGAAAUUCUUGUCUGGGUGUUGUAUCAUGGAAGAUAGAGUGGCCAAUGCAUCUGGGAACUCGUUCUGGAUUCUCGGAACAUGUUUGAACUCUAUCUUUGUGAAUCUCUUCAUCAAUUCUUGUACAUAGUACAAAUACAACAGUAUUUUUGGUAUUCUUUGUAGCCCAUUCUCCUAGAACCUGAUGUACCAGAAGGUCUGAGUCACCAAUUACCAGCAAUUCCUGAACGUUCAUGUCAAUAGCCAACUUGAGUCCUAAGAUGCAAGCCUCAUAUUCUGCCAUAUUGUUGGUACAUGGAAAUCCGAGCUUUGCGGAUACUGGAUAGUGUUGACCUGCCUCUGAUACUAAAACUGCUCCAAUACCCACUCCUUUGAAAUUUGCAGCUCCAUCGAAAAACAUUCUCCAACCAUCGUAGGUUUCGGUGAUAUCUUCUCCUACGAAUGAUACCUCUUCGUCAGGAAAAUACGUUUUUAGUGGUUUGUACUCUCCAUCUACAGGAUUUUCUACCAAAUAAUCCGCCAACGCUUGCCCCUUGACAGCUAUCUGAGUUACAUAGAUGAUGUCGAACUCACUUAGUAAUAUCUUCCAUUUUUCUAACUUCCCCGUGGGCAUGGGUUUCUGGAAGAUGUAUUUUAACGGAUCCAUCCUUGAUAUGAGAUAUGUGGUGUAGGCACAGAAGUAGUACCUCAACUUUUGAGCUAUCCAUGUCAAAGCGCAGUAGGUGUGUUCCAAUAAAGAAUACCGCGCUUCGUAGGGUGUGAACUUCUUGCUCAGAUAGUAUAUGACCUGUUCCUUUCUUCCCAUCUCGUCGUUUUGUCCCAAUAUACAACCGAAAGCCCAAUCUAGUACAGAUAAAUAGAGUAGCAGAGUUUUCCCAGGUUCCGGUGGGACCAGAACAGGUGGUUUGGAUAAACUUUCCUUUAUCUUGUCAAAGGCCUUCUGGUACUCUUCAGUCCAACUUGUUGCAGCGUCUUUCUUCAACAUUUUGAAAAUCGGUUCACAGAUCAUAGUUGAUUGUAAUAUGAAAUGGCUGAUGUAAUUGAGACACCCUAAGAAACUCAUCACAUCUUUCUUGUUCUUCGGAGGUGGAAAAUCUUGGAUAGCCUUGACCUUUGACGGGUCUAGCUCAAUUCCUCGGCGGCUGACGAUGAACCCUAACAACUUUCCAGCAGGUACUCCGAAGGCACAUUUUGCGGGAUUCAGUUUUAGGUUGUACCUUCGAAGUCGAACAAAGAAUUUCCUCAAAUCUGCUAUAUGAUAUGUGCUUCUCUUGGAUUUGAUGAUGACAUCAUCCACGUACACCUCUAUCUCCUUGUGUAUCAUGUCAUGGAAAAUGGUUGUCAUGGCCCUCAUAUAAGUGGCUCCAGCAUUCUUUAGGCCAAACGGCAUCAUUUUGUAACAAUAUAUUCCUCAUGGUGUAAUAAAGGCUGUCUUUUCGGCAUCCUCUUCAUCCAUCCAGGUCUGAUGAUAUCCCGCGAAGCAAUCCACAAAGGAUUGAAGUUCAUGUUUGGCAUAAUUAUCAAUUAGUAUGUGUAUAUUGGGCAGAGGAAAUCAUCUUUGGGACUUGCUCUGUUUAUAUCCCGAUAGUCAACACACACUCUGACCUUCCCAUCUUUCUUUGGAACCGGCACAAUGUUGGCCAACCAGGUCGAAUAUUCAACCACUCUAAGAACCUUGGCUUUGAACUUUUUGAGCUUUUGCUUUACAGGCGGACACAUAUGGUUGGUAGGUAGUUUAUGAGCCACUAUGGACGUGCUCAAACCGGUUAUAUCAUCAUAGGACCAUGUAAAAAUAUCCUCAUACUCCUUCAUGAAGCGGAUGUAUUCUUCCUUCUCUAACGGCGAUAGGUGAAUGCUUACACGAGUUUCCUUGACUGUUUCAGAUUCUCCCAAAUUAAUGGUUUCAGUCUCAUCUAAAUUGGAUUUUGGCUUGUUUUCAAAAUUUUCCACUUCUAUGACAAUUUCCUCUGGUAUUAUAUCCUNNNNNNNNNNNNNNNNNNNNNNNNNNNNNNNNNNNNNNNNNNNNNNNNNNNNNNNNNNNNNNNNNNNNNNNNNNNNNNNNNNNNNNNNNNNNNNNNNNNNNNNNNNNNNNNNNNNNNNNNNNNNNNNNNNNNNNNNNNNNNNNNNNNNNNNNNNNNNNNNNNNNNNNNNNNNNNNNNNNNNNNNNNNNNNNNNNNNNNNNNNNNNNNNNNNNNNNNNNNNNNNNNNNNNNNNNNNNNNNNNNNNNNNNNNNNNNNNNNNNNNNNNNNNNNNNNAAUAAUAUUGUAGAGAAAAAAUGUAAAGAAUAAUAAUAAAUACUAAAAAUAACAGUGCAAUAAAUAAAUCUUGAAAACGUCAAACAAGUACGACUUGAUGACUCGAGCAAUUAUUUCAAAACAAAAUACGUUCAGAACAAUAUAUUGAAAAUAUCUUAGAUGCUCAUAAAAUUGCUUUUUAAAAAUAAUUGAUGCUAAUUGCCAGGCUACCCAGGAACUCGACGAGCCCUUGAUGGCGCAGCAGUCCAAUUCUUGAGAACAACUCCCUUCUCCAUUGUCUGAAUAAUAAGGUCUUCCUCCUCCUCCUCCUCAACUAUCACACUGUAGUCCAUGUCUUUGUCAUCCAGAAAUAGCUUCCUUAUGCCAGCUAGAGCUUCAUCUUCUUCAGACCCCCACAUCAUGUCAGCUUGAUGAAACGACUAGCUCAAAUGUGGUACUGGCUGCUCUAGAGCGUAAUAAGGACCACGCUAUGGUGGUGACCAAUUCUUAUACUCGUGCCAGGUGUAUUCAUACCCAAGCCCAAAAGUUGUACCGUGACGCUUUAGCUGUAUCGGUUUGGCGAUCCCCUGGAGAUUCUUACUGAGAUCCUUGCCAGGUUCAUACCCUGUCCAUGCCAAUAUGCCUUCUAUCUUACUGCUCCACCAUUUGUCUUUUUCAAUUGCGUUGACGUGCUCGACGCGAUGGUAUAUUUCUCCACCCAACUUCCUUCUAUUCUCGACGACCGGAACAGUUUGAUUGGAGUAAAUAGGAUUAAUUCCGUCCCCAUGGAUGAUCACUUCCUGAUGGUUCCACUCAAAUUUCACAGCCUGAUGUAGAGUGGAAGCCACGGCCCCAGCGGCAUGUAUCCAUGGUCGCCCCAAUAACAGAUUGUAUGUAGCAGAUAUAUCCAAUACUUGAAACUCAACAUCGAACCAGGUCGGGACUAUCUGUAGGCGGAAGUUGGUCUCCCCAAUUAUUUCCCUUUGAGACCCAUCAAAUGCUUUUACAUUCAUACUCCCUGCUCGUAUCUCAUGCAGACCUUUACCCAACCUUUUUAAAGUAGUUAGUGGACAGAUGUUGAGACUCGAACCCCAUCUAUCAGGACCCUGGCAAUGAAUUUGUCCUCAAACUGCACUGUGAUAUGUAGUGCCCUAUUGUGACUUAGCCCUUCCGGUAGUAGCUCGUCUUCAUGAAAAGUGAUCUUAUGGCUUUCUAACACUUGCCCUACCAUGUCGGCCAUCUCUCCAUUGGUGAUGUUAUUUGGUACAUAAGCUUCAUUCAACACCUUCAUCAAGGAAUUCCUAUGUGCCUCGGAGUUUUACAGCAGUGAUAAAAUGGAUAUUUGAGCAGGGGUUUUGUUCAGAUGAUCAACCACAGAAUACUCUCUCUCCUGCACCUUUCUUCAAAGAUCAUCUGGGCCAGUCUCAAUGACAGGCGGCUUAGAGGCAGCUUCUUUGCUUGUUCCUCCCAAAUGCUCGGGUGUAUAAACCCUACCAGUUCUGGUCAUGCCUUGCGUUGCACCUGUUUCUUCCAUUUUUACCUUUCCUUUCCUUCUUGCUUCCGCAACAUAAUCCCAAGGUAUAACAUUAGACUUAAAAGACGGCGUGGGUGCCACCAUCAUGGUGAAGGGUGUUAAUACCUCAACCUCAAAUGGAGUUUGUGUGGCUACCUCAACUUUAAUCGGUGCCUGAAUUUGUACCACGAUAGGUGUGAGUGUGAAUGGAGAUGUUUCAGUGUUAUCCCCUUCUCGAAUGAGUCCAAUUGACCCCUAUGAGUCCCAUUCUCCAUUGGUCUCUAUCACGUUUACCCCUCCACCCCUGUGAUCCGGGAGAGGAUUGUUGCGGACAUUGGGUGCGAACCUCCUUUGCAUGUAUGACUCUGGUGUCGAUUAAUGUCUAAAUCUUAUCCUUCAAAGUACGACACUCAUCAAUAGUAUGACCCUUCAUGCCUGAGUGAUAGGCACAUGUCUUAUUUGGAUUAAUCCACUGGGAGGAGUUUUCCAAAUCAACAGCGGGAAUGGGAGUGACAUAACCGGUAGCCUUCAGUUUCUCGUACAGUUNNNNNNNNNNNNNNNNNNNNNNNNNNNNNNNNNNNNNNNNNNNNNNNNNNNNNNNNNNNNNNNNNNNNNNNNNNNNNNNNNNNNNNNNNNNNNNNNNNNNNNNNNNNNNNNNNNNNNNNNNNNNNNNNNNNNNNNNNNNNNNNNNNNNNNNNNNNNNNNNNNNNNNNNNNNNNNNNNNNNNNNNNNNNNNNNNNNNNNNNNNNNNNNNNNNNNNNNNNNNNNNNNNNNNNNNNNNNNNNNNNNNNNNNNNNNNNNNNNNNNNNNNNNNNNNNNNNNNNNNNNNNNNNNNNNNNNNNNNNNNNNNNNNNNNNNNNNNNNNNNNNNNNNNNNNNNNNNNNNNNNNNNNNNNNNNNNNNNNNNNNNNNNNNNNNNNNNNNNNNNNNNNNNNNNNNNNNNNNNNNNNNNNNNNNNNNNNNNNNNNNNNNNNNNNNNNNNNNNNNNNNNNNNNNNNNNNNNNNNNNNNNNNNNNNNNNNNNNNNNNNNNNNNNNNNNNNNNNNNNNNNNNNNNNNNNNNNNNNNNNNNNNNNNNNNNNNNNNNNNNNNNNNNNNNNNNNNNNNNNNNNNNNNNNNNNNNNNNNNNNNNNNNNNNNNNNNNNNNNNNNNNNNNNNNNNNNNNNNNNNNNNNNNNNNNNNNNNNNNNNNNNNNNNNNNNNNNNNNNNNNNNNNNNNNNNNNNNNNNNNNNNNNNNNNNNNNNNNNNNNNNNNNNNNNNNNNNNNNNNNNNNNNNNNNNNNNNNNNNNNNNNNNNNNNNNNNNNNNNNNNNNNNNNNNNNNNNNNNNNNNNNNNNNNNNNNNNNNNNNNNNNNNNNNNNNNNNNNNNNNNNNNNNNNNNNNNNNNNNNNNNNNNNNNNNNNNNNNNNNNNNNNNNNNNNNNNNNNNNNNNNNNNNNNNNNNNNNNNNNNNNNNNNNNNNNNNNNNNNNNNNNNNNNNNNNNNNNNNNNNNNNNNNNNNNNNNNNNNNNNNNNNNNNNNNNNNNNNNNNNNNNNNNNNNNNNNNNNNNNNNNNNNNNNNNNNNNNNNNNNNNNNNNNNNNNNNNNNNNNNNNNNNNNNNNNNNNNNNNNNNNNNNNNNNNNNNNNNNNNNNNNNNNNNNNNNNNNNNNNNNNNNNNNNNNNNNNNNNNNNNNNNNNNNNNNNNNNNNNNNNNNNNNNNNNNNNNNNNNNNNNNNNNNNNNNNNNNNNNNNNNNNNNNNNNNNNNNNNNNNNNNNNNNNNNNNNNNNNNNNNNNNNNNNNNNNNNNNNNNNNNNNNNNNNNNNNNNNNNNNNNNNNNNNNNNNNNNNNNNNNNNNNNNNNNNNNNNNNNNNNNNNNNNNNNNNNNNNNNNNNNNNNNNNNNNNNNNNNNNNNNNNNNNNNNNNNNNNNNNNNNNNNNNNNNNNNNNNNNNNNNNNNNNNNNNNNNNNNNNNNNNNNNNNNNNNNNNNNNNNNNNNNNNNNNNNNNNNNNNNNNNNNNNNNNNNNNNNNNNNNNNNNNNNNNNNNNNNNNNNNNNNNNNNNNNNNNNNNNNNNNNNNNNNNNNNNNNNNNNNNNNNNNNNNNNNNNNNNNNNNNNNNNNNNNNNNNNNNNNNNNNNNNNNNNNNNNNNNNNNNNNNNNNNNNNNNNNNNNNNNNNNNNNNNNNNNNNNNNNNNNNNNNNNNNNNNNNNNNNNNNNNNNNNNNNNNNNNNNNNNNNNNNNNNNNNNNNNNNNNNNNNNNNNNNNNNNNNNNNNNNNNNNNNNNNNNNNNNNNNNNNNNNNNNNNNNNNNNNNNNNNNNNNNNNNNNNNNNNNNNNNNNNNNNNNNNNNNNNNNNNNNNNNNNNNNNNNNNNNNNNNNNNNNNNNNNNNNNNNNNNNNNNNNNNNNNNNNNNNNNNNNNNNNNNNNNNNNNNNNNNNNNNNNNNNNNNNNNNNNNNNNNNNNNNNNNNNNNNNNNNNNNNNNNNNNNNNNNNNNNNNNNNNNNNNNNNNNNNNNNNNNNNNNNNNNNNNNNNNNNNNNNNNNNNNNNNNNNNNNNNNNNNNNNNNNNNNNNNNNNNNNNNNNNNNNNNNNNNNNNNNNNNNNNNNNNNNNNNNNNNNNNNNNNNNNNNNNNNNNNNNNNNNNNNNNNNNNNNNNNNNNNNNNNNNNNNNNNNNNNNNNNNNNNNNNNNNNNNNNNNNNNNNNNNNNNNNNNNNNNNNNNNNNNNNNNNNNNNNNNNNNNNNNNNNNNNNNNNNNNNNNNNNNNNNNNNNNNNNNNNNNNNNNNNNNNNNNNNNNNNNNNNNNNNNNNNNNNNNNNNNNNNNNNNNNNNNNNNNNNNNNNNNNNNNNNNNNNNNNNNNNNNNNNNNNNNNNNNNNNNNNNNNNNNNNNNNNNNNNNNNNNNNNNNNNNNNNNNNNNNNNNNNNNNNNNNNNNNNNNNNNNNNNNNNNNNNNNNNNNNNNNNNNNNNNNNNNNNNNNNNNNNNNNNNNNNNNNNNNNNNNNNNNNNNNNNNNNNNNNNNNNNNNNNNNNNNNNNNNNNNNNNNNNNNNNNNNNNNNNNNNNNNNNNNNNNNNNNNNNNNNNNNNNNNNNNNNNNNNNNNNNNNNNNNNNNNNNNNNNNNNNNNNNNNNNNNNNNNNNNNNNNNNNNNNNNNNNNNNNNNNNNNNNNNNNNNNNNNNNNNNNNNNNNNNNNNNNNNNNNNNNNNNNNNNNNNNNNNNNNNNNNNNNNNNNNNNNNNNNNNNNNNNNNNNNNNNNNNNNNNNNNNNNNNNNNNNNNNNNNNNNNNNNNNNNNNNNNNNNNNNNNNNNNNNNNNNNNNNNNNNNNNNNNNNNNNNNNNNNNNNNNNNNNNNNNNNNNNNNNNNNNNNNNNNNNNNNNNNNNNNNNNNNNNNNNNNNNNNNNNNNNNNNNNNNNNNNNNNNNNNNNNNNNNNNNNNNNNNNNNNNNNNNNNNNNNNNNNNNNNNNNNNNNNNNNNNNNNNNNNNNNNNNNNNNNNNNNNNNNNNNNNNNNNNNNNNNNNNNNNNNNNNNNNNNNNNNNNNNNNNNNNNNNNNNNNNNNNNNNNNNNNNNNNNNNNNNNNNNNNNNNNNNNNNNNNNNNNNNNNNNNNNNNNNNCCUCAUUGUGCCCGAGGUAGGCCUAAGCGACACGUAUUCUUGGAGAAAAUUGAUGCCAAUAAUUGUGUCAUUUCAUUAAUGCGAAAAUGAAUCAGAUCCUUACUAAAACGACAAUAAUAAGAAAAUUACUAAUGGCAUUUGCCUUAUUACAAUCGAAAUCUAAAACUAAGCUAGUAAAGAACAUCGUUUCCUAAUCUACUUGGCCCAAGAGAUACCUUCUCCAUGCUUGGCCUUCUAGGAUCCAUCAAUCAAGUUUCCCAGGUCGUGCAUGUGCAAUAGUAGAUAAGCCCUUGCUAGAUGCCCUCCCUCAUUGCCUUCCGUAUUCUGACAAUCCGAGAGCCUUUUCCUCCUCUUCCUCUCAAGUUCCAUUAACCCUUGCUCCAAAUAUUACAAUCUUUUUGUUGAUUUAGUAGCAAUUUCUUUCCAUUCGUUGAUUGCUUCCAUAUCCACUUUGUGCUGUUCCAAAUGCCUAGCUUCAGACUCAAAAACCCUCUUUCGCAGCAUUCUAUACUUGACUUGUGCAUCAGCAGCGUCAUCUAUAACCCUAUUUUUUAGAUUAAUACCUGGCUUGACAUCUCCCGCUAUAUAAUCUACCAACCAUGAUGGGUAGAAGUGUACAUGGCCGGCAUGGUACCUGUCUGGCUCAAUAGUUUCUUUCUCUACAAUGACCUUUUGAUUCCACAUAUGCUGUGCCUCGAACUUGAACGGAAUGAUGUUCCCUUUAAAGUCUACUUUGUACUGGACCAUGUUGGAAACCUGAGGUAUAAUCUGCUUUCUUCCGGCUUGCCUCAUUACCCUUAUAGGAGCAUAAGGAUAGAUUCCUCUUAACCCGAUUAGCACUAAAUGAGUGGUUUCUCUUGACCUGAUGAUGAACUCGCUGCUAGGGAACCAUUCGAACAUCCAAUGUACCUUUUCGUCAGUCAAAUUGCUAAAGAAACGCACCUAGAUCACAGCACUUCCAGGUUGCACGAACCUAUCUGGGAUAAAUGUCAUUCUUUUUGGAUGAUGGUAGGCUAUGUAGUCAUUCAAUGGCCGUCGCAGAAGCUCCUGACGAUAUUCACCUCUCUGGAAAUGUUCUAAUAACCAAACCUGCAGUAACAAAUUACAGCCCUCGAAGUGCCCAUACCCCUGCUUGCAUCGAUCUAGAGCUCGGUACAUUUCGGCCAAGAUCAUGGGGAUGAUAGUGUAAGUUUGUCCCUCAAUUCAUUCCAUUAGAGUCCUAGCGUCCAUGGCUAAGAGAGUGUGGAUCUUCCCCCCUUUCAUUGGAAAUAUCAGCAACCCCAAGUAAUACACAAUGAACACAAAACCUCGGCGGUGCGUCCAACCCAAAGAAGUAAUGGCAAGUUCAUCACGGUGAAGGCGAUAUGACUUCUUAUGCCCAUAACAUUCAUAAAGGAAUUCAAAUGGUAUGUAUGACUCCUUCAGACAGAGUAACUCAUCAUUUUUCUUUAAACCCAUUAUUUUUAAAAAAAUCGCAGGGAGUGCGAUUUGGCAGCCUAGCGAAGCCUCCUAUUUCUUCUAAGAGAGGAGUCAUUCUAACAUUACCAAAGCGGAAGACAACUCUUUUCUCAUCCCAAAAUAUAGUGGCGGCCUCAAUCAAUGCAUUAUUUGGCCGAAUGUCCAAUAAGGAAGGUAAAUUUUCGAGGACCCUUUUCACAUGAUUCUUGUCACUAGGUGAGAGGUUCUUCCACCAAACAAGCAGCAAAGGUGGGAUGUUUUGAACUAUGCCGAACCUGGGGACUUCGUGCCUCAUUUUUUACAAAACAAAUAGAGUUAGCCCUUUCCCCCUCCGGGUCUGACUAUUUACACAUUAAUGAUCAACAUACCUGCAUAUUUUCUCCAAGUAAUGCACAUACCGUGAUGGUGUCCAUUGGGAUAAUGCAAAUCCCGUCGGGCUGCUUAUCUUAGUGGAUUGUCAAGCGGACUACGUUCUAACCCAUACUAGGUUUGACAUGAUGCAUGCACAGUUGAUAUUAGAGAGAGGUUUCUAGAAGGGUCUAGACUGGUACUCUCAAUUGGACAACUUAAGAGGGAAAGGCACUAUACCCAACCAAAAUCCGCUCAUGCGCUUGCCUGGCCUCUUCUGCGGCCAUUUUUCCGCAGGUGCGAUUGCACCAGUACUCAGGCCCUUCAGCAAUACAACAAAGAUCCAAAGUGAUCUGCGACUCGUCUGAAAUACACCCGAUGCCCCCAGGACCCCGUCCAAACCUACCAACAAGUUCCACAACAUAACACGGACCUGCUCGAGGCCUCAAAUCAAAUCAAACAUCAUCAAAAUUGUGAAUCGACGAUCGAAACCUUUCUUUAAACUUUUAAACUUCGCGGAACGCGUCCGAAUCAUACUUAAACAUUCUGGAAUGACGCCAAACUUUACACACAAGUCAUAAAUCACAAUACGAACCUAUUCCAAGGCUUGGAAUCUCAAACGGACAUCGAUAACACCAAAACCUACUUCAAGCCAAACUUAGGAAAUUCUUAAACCUUUAAAAUGUCAACCUUUCAUAAUAAGCGCUGAAAUGCUUCUGGACCACCCGAUACUUAACCCGAACAUACGUCCAAGUUCAAAAUCAUCAUACGAACCUAUUAGAACCUUCAAAUCCCGAUUCUGAGAUUGUUUACUCAAAAGUCAAACCUCAGUCCAUUCUUCCAACUUAAAGUUCUUAAAUUAGAAUUUUCCUUCUCAAUCAACUCCGAACUUCCCGGAAUCCAAUUUCGACCACACGUACAAGUCGUAAUACAUGAAGUGAAGCUACUCAAGGCCUCAAACCACUGAACGAUGCACUAGAGCUCAAAACGACCGAUCGGGUUGUUACAGGACAAAUUUGCGCGCCUGCGAGCUCACUUUUGCGAGACAAAUCUCGCUUAUGCGAAUGCACUAGCCAACAGCACUAUCGCACCUAUGGUAGAAUGUCCGCUUCUGCGCAAACGCAUGUGUGAGCAGGCCAUCGCUUCUGUGCUUCCUUCACUUAUGCGAAGCCAACUUCCGCUUCUGCGAAGCCUCCCCAACCAGCUUUCCCCAGGUCGCUUCUGCGACCAGUAACACACUUCUGCGUGCACGCACCUGUGGUCCCACAUGCGCAGGUGCGAAGCCACCAGCAACCAAAAAUUUCAGCAGCUUCAACAAGGCUCCAAAUGAUCCGAACCUCAUUCGAAUCUCACCCGAGCCACUUGAGACCUCGUCCGUACAUACGAACAUGUCUUAUAACAUAAUGCGGACCUACUCGAGGUCUCAAAUCACAUCAAAUAACGUCGAAACUACGAAUCGCACCUCGAAUCGAACUUAUAAACUUUCAAAUCUUCCAACUUUCAAAACUCGUGCCGAAACAUAUCAAAUCAACCCGGAAUGACGUCGAAUUUUGCACAAAAGUUCCAAAUGACAUAACGGAGCUAAUCCAACUUUCGGAAUCACAAUCCGAGCCCAAUAUCAACAAAGUCAAAUCCCAUUCAAACCUCUUAACUUUCCAAAACUUCAACUUCAAAAUUUUCGCCAAAAUGCAUCAAAUUACCCUACGGACCUCCAAAUCUAAAUCCGAAUGCACGCCUAAGUCCAAAAUUACCAUACGAAGCUAUUGGAAUCAUCAAAAUACCAUUUCAGAGUCAUCUACACAAACGUCAAAAAUUCGGUCAACUCUUACCGCUUAAGCUUCUAAUACAAGAAUCCUUCUUCCAAAUUGAUCUCGAAUCAUCCGAAAUCUGAACUCGGCCACGCACGCACGUCAUAACACAUAAUACAAAGCUUUUCGAGAUCUGAAACCACUAAACGGGAUGCUAAUACUCAAAACAACCGGUCAAGUCAUUACAAAAAAUAACAAAAAGAGGUUAUCUUCACCCGAUAUUGACCAUGGUCAAACUUCAAAUUUUUAACUUAACUAGUUUCUCAACCAAUUAUCCAAGACACACUCGAGCCCAUCGGGACCCCAUCCAAUCAUACCAACAAGCAAAUACAUUAUCCAAACUUAUCCUAAGCCUCAACCCACCCACAGGAGCAUCACAACAUGAAUCGAGGCUCGAGCAGAAUAGAAUUUCUCCUAAGUUGUUAAAGAUUCAUUCUUUCAAAUAAGUGUCUGAAUCACAUUUAAACACUUCGAAUUACUUCCAAACUUUGCACACAAGUUCAAUUCAACUAUAUAGACCUAUCCAAAGUCUCGGAACACCAAUUGGAGUCCAAUAACAUCAUACUCAACUAUUGGUCAAACUUAAGUUUUACAAAUUGCCAACUUUCGACAAAUAGUUUUGAAUACUUCUAAAACUUCCGAAACCAAAUCCGAACAUACGUAUAAAUAGUAUAAGUCCAAAAUUAUCACACAAACCAAUCGGAACAAUCAAAACCUGAUUCCGAGUCCGUUUACCCAAAAGUUAAACAUUGGUCAAGUCUGUUAUAUCUAAGUUUCAAUGAUGACAAUUGCGGAAAACUAAAUCUUAUCUACUUUGAUUGUAGAAAUCAAGACAUCAACAGAAGGAAAUGAGAUAAAAGAAGAGUUUGUGAUGCAAAAUAGAAGGAGCCGAUGCUAGGACAAGAAGCUAUCAAAAGGGAAACCAAAUUAUAGAAGAUUUAGCAGAAACUCAAGCCAAAAAGAUCAAGAAGAAAGGAAGAAAGAAAUGGGAGAAAAUUUGAGUGGGAAACACAUCAUAGUGGGAGACAAUUGGAAGUGGUGCUUCUUUCUUUUAUAAAACAAAAAGCACUCCUUGGAUUAAUUAAUCCACCCUACCAAAUGAAGAUCAUUUGAAAUGCGCUUUUCUCCUCAAGAAAAAAUUAAGCAUCUCGGCAUGGAACAGAGCACUCCAUGGUUGAAAAAAAUUCUAGCACAUCUCUCUUGAAGGAAUCAGAGACACUCUGCUCGAAUCCAACACUCAUCUCCCUUGAAAGAAUCAGAGACACCUUGUUGGAAUCAAACACAAACACACAACAAUACUUGCCUAUAAGAACACUGGCAAACUCAAGGAGUGAAGUGCAUAACUACAAACAUUAUCUUCUAAGUCUCUCUAGUUCUUAAUACAAAUACUGUAUUCUUAAGUUUACAAGUGUCAUAAAAGAUAGAAAGAGUUAGAACACAAAAGAGAGUUGUGUCAACAUCCAGAAAUCAUUGUUGCUAAACAUCGUUGGUGGUGAACGAGCCAAAACCAUCACUGUUGUAAUUCUUUAUCAAGAUCUAAGAGAACCCUUGUGACCCAAGGGAAAGUGGACGUAAGUACCACACCGGUACUAAACCAGUAUAAAAACUGUUGUGUCUUGUUUUGCCUUGAAAUUCAUUGCAUUCAUCUCUAUCUUAUCUGUGUACUGUACGAAAACUAGUCGACUAAACUAAAUCUUAGUCAACUAAGUAUUAAUAGUCCAUAACUCCCCCCCCCCCCUUGUACUUUUAAUUGGUAUCAGAGCCAGGCUCACAAACUUUGCUUAACAGCUAGUGAGGAAAAGAUCAUGAGAUCAAACACAGUCGUCGGUGCAUUAUUUCAAGAAGGAACCUCUCAGGUGCACCCUUCAUAUUUCAAUGGACAAUAUUUUUUUCAUUGGAAAGUUCGCAUGGAAACAUACACUGUGUCAUAUGACAUCAAAGUUUGGCGUGUUAUCAAAAAGAAAAAUCUUCCAAUUCCACCAAAGAAAGAUGCAAAUGAUCAAAUCAUUGUAUCAACUGAUCCACUUGACUUAGAUGAUUACACUGAUGAACAAGUUGUUGUUAUAACUGUGAAUGCCAAAGCAAAAACUUUACUGUAUAAUGCUAUCAGUGGAGAAGAGUAUGAAAAGAUUUCAAGCUGUGAAACUGCCAAGGAAAUGUGGGAUAAAUUGGAAAUCACAUAUGAAGGAACCAACAAUGUAAAAGAAAUAAGGAUCAAUCUUCUAGUUUGUGACUAUGAGCUAUUUCAAAUGAAGGAUGGAGAAUCAGUGGAAGAAAUAUUCUCCAAGUUCAGCAAAAUCUUUGGAGAUCUAAAAUCCUUUGGUAGACCAAUAAAAAGUGGAGAACAGGUCAGAAAAAUCCUUAAAAGUCUACCCACAAUUUGGCAGCCCGAAGUUAUUGUUCUGGAAUGUCAAGAUCUUGACAAAAUAUCCUAUGAUGAACUUAGAGGUGAUUUAAUUGCCUUUGAGAAAACUCACUUGGACUAGCAAAUUCAACAAGAAAGAAAAAAGAAGUAGCCUUUAAAGCAACUGUGGCUGAACCAGAAAAUGAAGAAGAAGAAGAAGAAGAAGAAGAAGAAGAAGAAGAAGAAGGAGAACAUGAUGAAAACAUAGCCAUGCUUUCUCAAGUUGUAGCUAGCAUGAUGAGGAAGAACAGAUAUAGCAAAAGAGGGAAAUCAAACUUCAGAAGAGGAAGGACAAAUAAUGAAAAUGAUAAAAAUAAUAGAAAAAUGCUAUGAAUGUGGAAAACAUGGAUACAUUCAAGUUGUUUGUCCCAUACUGAAAAUAAAACUCAGUAGGAACUUUCAAAAGAAGAAGUCUUUUGGAGCCUGGAGUGAUGAAGAAGAAUCUGACCUUGAAGAAAUUGCAAAUAUAUGUUUCAUGGCCAUAAAGAAGAUAGCAAUGAGGACUUAGGUGAACUUGGUCUUAUGGCAGACGAGGGAACUAGUGAGGUACGUCUUUCUACUUGUCCUAACUGUUAUGAACUUCAAGAAUUUGUUAAUAUUACUCUUGCAGAUAUUGAAAGAGUUCUAAAUGAACUCAGAAAAAUCCAAAGAGAAAAAAAGGACUGGGCCUUGAAGCUGGAAGUGUGUGAAAUUGAGUGUGACAUGCUUCAAGAGGAAGUAAAUGAACUUCAAUUUCAACUGAAUGGAUUACAAAAAUCCACUAGUCAUAGUUCCGUCAAAUCAAAUCCGACCACUCCUUAUAACUAUUUGAUUAGAAUUAGAAACCUUCAUGCAUGCUCUUACUGUGGUAAAAAUGGUCACAACACUAACCAAUGCAGGAACAGAAUCAGAGCAGAAAAAGGCUUUGAAAAUCCCAAUAAACCGUCGUGUUUUUAUUGUGGAAAACGUGGUCACACUUCUAACCAUUGAGGUUCAAGGACAACAGGAGAUGGGUCUUGCGACCUAAAUCCUCUAGUCAAGCUAACACUCAGAAAUCUAACCAUUCAGGACCCAAGUGGGCUUGGGUACCUGAAAACAAGUAAUCUUGUUUUGCAGGAACAACGCAAGAAGAAUCGAAAAGGAAAAUGGUAUCUUGACAGCGCAUGUUCCAGACAUAUGACUGGUGACAAACAAUUAUUCAAAACAGUCACCAAAAUAGAUGGAGGAAUAGUUACCUUCGGAGAUAAAUCUAAAGGAAACGUUAUUGGAGAUGGAAAAUUUCCUCUACGCUCAACAUGUGAUGUGGACGAAGUAUACCUGGUUGAUGAACUCGGUGACAAUCUUCUCAGUAUCAGUCAACUAUGUGACAAUGAUUAUAAGGUUCGUUUUAAGAAACAUGGUUGGUUUAUAGAAGACAUAUCAGGUAAAGUUAUUCUUUCAGGUAACAGAGACAGGAAUGUCUACACUAUCAGUAAUAUAGAUAGUCUUGGCUAUCAAAUUUGUCUUGCUUCUGUGAUCGAUGACCCUUGGGUUUAGCAUAGAAAGCUUGGACAUGCUAACAUGCAUACUAUCCAAAAACUUUCUAAACAUGAUCUUGUCAUUGGUCUUCCAAAGCUAGAUUUUUCAAAAGAUCAUAUUUGUGAUGCAUGUCAACUAGGAAAACAAACUCGCUCAUCUUUCAAAAUAAAAAACAUUGUUUCUACUACUAAACCACUUCAACUAUUGCAUAUGAAUUUGUUUGGUCCAACCAGAACUGCUAGUAUAGGUGGUAGAAAAUAUGCUUUUGUCAUUGUGGAUGAUUUUUCUCAAUUUACAUGGGUUAUUUUUCUAAGUCAUAAAGAUGAAGCCCUAAGAAAUUUUGAUUGUUUUCUAUAAUAAGGUCCAACGUGAAAAGGGAUACUAUAUUUCCACUAUCAGAAGUGAUCACGGAGGAGAAUUUAAAAGCAGAGCCUUUGAAAACUUUUGUAAUGACCAAGGAAUCUCUCACAAUUUCUCUUCACCAAGAUCGCCUCAACAGAAUGGAGUGGUAGAACAUAAAAAUAGAACCUUACAGGACAUGGCUAGAAACAUGAUUGUGGAAAACUCUCCACCUCACCACUUCUGGGCAAAAGCUGUAAGCACAGCAUGUCAUAUUAUCAACAGAUGUUUGAUUCGACCCAUUCUUAAAAAGAUCUCAUAUGAGCUAUGGAAUAGUAAGAAACCCAACAUCAGUUAUUUUCAUCCUUUUGGAUGCAAAUGCUUCAUUCACAAUAAUGGAAAGGACAAUCUGGGUAAGUUUUAUCCAAAAAGCGACGAAGGUAUAUUCCUUGGAUAUUCUCCCUCAAGUAGAGCGUAUAGAGUUUACAAUAAAAGAACCUUAUGUAUUGAAGAAUCAAUUCAUGUUGUUUUUGUUGAUACAAACCCUCACUCAAGGAAUGAAAAACUUCCUGUAGAUGAGGAAAUUUCUAUUGUUCCAAAGUCUGUUGUUAUAGGAAAAGACUAUCAAGAGGAGUCAACUGGUCAGCAAAAUCAGUCAACUGAGGAACAUAAUGAAAUCCAAGAAUCUUCUUCAACAGAACAGUCGACUAUUGAGGAAAGGGAACCAACCACAAAUAUCCCAAAUGAAUGGAAAAGUGAACCUGGAUAUCCUCAUAAAUUCAUUAUUGGAAAUCCACAGGAAGGAAUCACUACCAGAAGAUUUCAAAAGCUCAAUUCCCACAUGGCUCUAAUUUCUCAACUUGAGCCAAAGAAAGUGGAUGAAGCACUAAAAGACGCGUAUUGGGUCAAAGAAAUGAAGGAUGAACUUGAUCAAUUUGAAAGAAAUAAAGUAUGGAAACUGGUUCCAAAACCUUCAAGUGCUUCUAUUGUAGGAACCAAAUGGGUUUACAGAAAUAAGUUAAACGAAUUCGGACUAGUGAUGCAAAAUAAAGCACGGCUUGUUACGCAAGGUUAUUCUCAGCAAGAGGGAAUCGACUACGAUGAAACAUUCAUACCAGUAGCAAGACUGGAAUCUAUUCGAAUAUUACUUGCCUUUGCUGCUCAUAAAGGAUUCAAACUAUUCCAAAUGGAUGUAAAAAGUGAUUUUCUAAAUGGAUACAUCUCUGAAGAAGUUUAUGUAAAGAAACCUCCUGGUUUUGUAAAUGAUACUCUCCCAGAUCAUGUAUAUAAGUUGACAAAAGCUCUAUACGGACUCAAGCAAGCUCUCCGAGCCUGGUAUGAAAGAUUAAGUUCCUUCCUUCUAAAUCAAGGCUUCAAAUGAGGUAAUAUCGAUGCAACUCUGUUUAUUACGCACUCAAAUUAAGGUAAUUUUAUUACUCAAAUUUAUGUAGACGAUAUUAUUUUUGGAAGUCCUAACUCUGUUUUAUGCGAAGAAUUUGCUCAUUCUAUGAAAGGAGAAUUCGAAAUGAGCAUGAUGGGAGAGCUAACUUACUUUCUUAGACUACAAAUCAAACAGUCUCUCAAAGGGAUCUUUAUCAGUCAAACCAAGUACAUCAAAUAACUUAUAAAAAAGUUUGGCAUGGUGAAUGCUAAGCCCAUUGGGACUCCAAUGAGUCCAACAACUAUGCUUGAUGAAGAUAACAAUGAAAAAAGUGUUGAUGAAACUAUGUAUAAAGGAAUGAUUAGAUCUUUAUUAUAUCUCACUACUAGUCGACCAGAUAUAAUGUUUAGUGUGUGUAAAUAUGCAAGGUUUCAGUCGGCUCCAAAGGAAUCCCAUCUUACUGCUGUUAAACGCAUUAUAAGAUAUCUUAUUGGGACCUCUGAAUUAGGAUUAUAGUAUGCUCACUCUAAAAAUUUUGUCUUGAAAGGUUUUUCAGAUGCCGAUUUUGCAGGUGAUAAGAUCGACAGGAAAAGUACUAGUGGCACAUGCCAACUGUUGGGAAAUGCACUAGUUUCCUGGCAUAGCAAGAAACAAAAUUGUGUUGCCUUGUCAACAACUGAAGCAGAAUAUUUAGCUGUUGGAAGUUGUUGUAUACAAGUUCUUUGGAUCAUGCAUCAACUUCUCAACUAUGAUUUAUCUCUUACCUCGACUUCCAUAUUUUGUGAUAAUACUAGUGCUAUAUGUUUAGCAAAAUAUUAUGUGCAUCACUCCAGAGCAAAGCAUAUAGAAAUCAAGCAUCAUUUUAUCCGUGAUCAUGUUGCUAAAGGUGAUAUUGCAUUAGAAUUCAUUAGUACUAAAUCUCAACUUGCUGAUAUUUUUACAAAACCUCUUUUAGAAGAAAGAUUUUGUCUACUACGGAAAAAGAUUGGCAUCAUGUAUGUUUUAUAAAACAAAUCUUUUGUUUAUGUUUAAAACACUUUACUUUCCUCUUGUGAGUGUUAAUUUUACUUUGAUGUAAGUGUAAUUAUUACACCUCCAUUAGUACCGCCGAAACAUCUCAUCAGAAGAGUCACUUCCUUCUGAAUCCGUCCUUUCCUUUAACCAAUGCAACUCUUCAGCCUUCCAAAGUCUAGAUAAGAAUCCUCCUACUCCCUCUCACUCUUCAUCCUCUCUAAAGAAACCCUCACCAUGGUGAAAAGAAACCUCUUAUCUUCCACUGCCACCAGACGAAGCAGAAGGUUUCAAAAAACCCUCAACCCUGAAGAAAAUGUAGACUUGGAAUCAUCCAUCGACUCAGACCUUCUCAAAACCGACAAUGAAAGCAGUAAAUCUUUCGAGGACCUUCUCAUUAGCCAGAAAAAGGUAGGAAAGAGACCCAUGGAGCAAACCCCCAAAAUAUCUGCAUGCAAGAAAGGGAAAGUAGAGAGUACUGAAUUUGGGCCAGAGGAUAAAUUAAUCUUCUAUGGACCAAGUGAGAAAUCAAGGUUUGAGUCCUAUAAGUCGAUAUCUAUGGCUUAUGGACGCACUGUAAGUCUCUCUCUUAUGAAAAAUCUGCAUUGUGAUGUGAUUGCUGUUUUUGAUUUUCAACGUCUUUCCUCUCUGUUCGAUACUAUUGAGAGCUUCGUAUAUGAAGUACCUGUGAGAAUGUUUUAUGCAAAUUUGUUUGUGAAUGAUAAAGAUGACUUGGAAUCCAUGGUUUUAGGCACUCGAAUUGUUCUCGACUCUUAUCAAUUUGAGAAGAUUUUUUCUGCUAAGUUUAACGGAUAUGAGGUUUUUGUGCAAAAUUCCUGGCCAAAAGACUUUGAAGUUUCCUUACAAAAAGAAAAAGUAUUCCUGUCUGAUAAUCCUCCCGAUAUUGGUCCCAAAAAUCUAAAGUUUGAACACCGAGUUUUGGCCCACAUGAUAGCCACCACUCUACUUCCUAAAAUUGGGUCCCUUAGCACCUUAUCUACCAGAGAUAUCUUUGUUCUUUACUGUCUUGUGAACAACAAAAGACUCAACUGGUUUGUAUGGAUUCGUCAAUACAUGCUUGAGAGUAUCAGGGAUAUAUCAUCUUCUGCUGCUUGUCUACCCUAUGGCCUACUUAUCUCACAUAUUCUUGGAGUUAUGAAGGUUGACUUGGCACCUUUCACACCCAAGCAUAUUACUAGUACCUAUGAUAAGACAUCAUUUCUCUAUGAUGGGUUACACUUUAAGUGAUAAUGGAUGGGUCAAGCGCGCCAAAGUUGAAAGUGUCCCAAUGCAGAUUGAAGCUCCCGCUGAACCACCAGAGUCUCUGUCAACUGCCUCUCAAAAUCUUCAACAGAUUCAGCAAUAUCUAGAUAGUGUAAGACUCAUGCUUGUUGAGAUGAAAGAGUAGGUUAACAAAAUUAGAGAAGUCACCAAGGAAACAGGUACAGAUGUGGCCAAGAUUAGGAUGGAUAUGGGAGCCACACGGAGACAAGAACCUAAGGCAUUCAACUCCAUGACAGAAAAAAUGGACAAGCUCGUCAAAGUUGUUGAAACCUCCUAUGAAUCCUUCUGCACCAAAGUGAUCAAUACCCUCAAGUAGUUCCUGAGGAGAAAUUAAGGCGUGUUUGUGUGUGUAAAAAACAAUCUUUUGUGCAUGCUUUUGUUUUAAAGACUUAAUUAUUUUUGCAUUGGUAUGUAUGAACCAUCACUCUAUGCCUCUGCUGAAGGCAUUACUUAUGCUGCCCUAACUAGUAAGCAUAUUAUCUGUAUAUUAUUUUCCUAUCUAGUGUGAAUGCAUAUUGUUAUAUAUACUGCGCUUGCAUUUUCCUUUUUGAUUGAUGUCAAAGGGGGAGAACAUUUAUGGAGAAGUAAAUCAACAACUCAGGGGGAGCAGUAAUGAGUACAACAACUCUAAGGGAAGUAUACUUUGUUUACUGUCUCUUUAUUGUCAUCAUCAAAAAGGGGGAGAUUGUUAUAUCUAAGUUUCAAUGAUGACAAUUGUGCAAAACUAAAUCCUAUCUACUUUGAUUGUAGAAAUCAAGGCAUCAACAGAAGGAAAUGAGAUCAAAGAAGAAUUUGUGAUGCAAAAUAGAAGGAGCCGAUACUAGGACAAGAAGCUAUCAAAAAGAAAACCAAAUCAUAGAAGAUUUAGCAUAAACUCAAGCCAAAAAGAUCAAGAAGAAAGGACGAAAGAAAUGGGAGACAAUUUGAGUGGGAAACACAUUAUAGUGGGAGACAAUUGGAAGUGGUGCAUCUUUCUUUAAUAAAACAUGAAGCACUCCUUGGAUUAAUUAAUCCACCUAACCAAAUGAAGACCAUUUGAAAUGCGCUUAUCUCCUCAAGAAAGCAUGAAGCAUCUCGGUAUGGAACAGAGCACUCCAUGGUUUAAAAAAUUCUAGCCCAUCUCUCUUGAAGGAAUCAGAGACACUCUGCUCAAAUCCAACACUCAUCUCCUUUGAAAGAAUCAGAGACAACUUGCUGGAAUCAAACACAAACACACAACAAUACUUGCCUAUACGAACAAUGGCAAACUCAACGAGUGAAGUGCGCAACUACAAACACUGUCUUCUAAGUCUCUCUAGUUCUUAAUACAAACACUGUAUUCUUAAGUCUACAAGUGUCAUAAAAGAUAGAAAGAGUUAGAACACAAAAAAGAUUUGUGUCAACAUCUAAAAAUCAUUGUUGCUAAACAUCGUUGGUGGUGAACGAGCCAAAACCAUCACUGUUAUAAUUCUUUAUCAAGAUCUAAGAGAACUCUUGUGACCCAAGGGAAACUGGACGUAAGUACCACACCGGUACUGAACCAGUAUAAAAACUGUUGUGUCUUGUUUUGCCUUCAAAUUCAUUGCAUCCAUCUCUAUCUUAUCUGUGUACUGUACGAAAACUAGUCGACUAAACUAAAUCUUAGUCAACUAAGUAUUAAUAGUCCAUAAUUCAACCCCCCCCCCCCACCUUCUUGUACUUUCAAACUCUUUCGAUUUAAAACUUCUAAAACGAGAAUCAUUCUUCCAAAUUAAUCUUGAACCGCUCGAAACCGAAACCAGCCAUACACACAAGUCAUAAUACAUAAUAUGAAACUUUUCAAAGUCUCAAGUCACCGAAUGGAACGCUAAAGCUCAAAACGAUCGAUCGGGUCGUUACAAGUGAGGGGAUUAAAUUUCUAAAAGAAAUACCAUUUUUUGUUGGGCUCGGAACUUUUAAUUAUUCUACUUCUCUUUUUUUUUUUUAACUUUUUGUUGAAUUUAUUUUCGAUCAUAGUCUUUGAAAUAAUCUGCAAGCUGAAUCUAUGACCUAUUUUCUUUUUAGUCCGUGUCAAAAAGAAUAUUACUUUUCUUAUUUAAAAAUAAUUUAUCUUUACACAAUGAUUUAUAACAACAUAAAAUAUAUGUGUCUCAUUUUAUAGCAUAAGUUCAAAAAUCUUCAAAUUUCGUGCUCAGUCAAAUAGGUUCUAGGGAGGAGGGAGUAUUUUAUUUGUCUCGACGUUGAAAAAGCUUUAAUAUAAGCUCGAAAACAAACCACAACUCAACAGUAUAUAGUACACACUUGUAGUUGAAAUAAGUAAAAGCUGAAGAGGUGAAGCAAAGUUAGGCACGGCAGUCAUGGCUAUGGAUCUAGCAGUGGUAGAUUAUGGUUCCUACAAGACGAGACCAUCGGCGCUUCUCAACUCUGUGUUCAUGACGACGGUGAACGCAGCGGCAAAGACCCUUGUGGCGGUGGCGUCGAACGCCAAGGCGGCGGACCAGCAGUCGGACAAGUGGAAGCCAGCGGACCACUUGAGGUUCAUGCUGAUGCUCAUGACUUGGUUGGCAGUUUGGGUUCUUAGGGUGUUGAUGGAUCACUGUCCUUUCGCUGUUGGCUCUUCGUAUUCGCUUGAUAGAUCAUCGUCCCUUGAUUUAAUGUUGCCAUCAGCUUCAACAAUGUUGUCUUCUUCCUCUUUGGAUUUGGUGCUUCAUGAAGAUUCUAAUCAAGCUUCUCCUGCUAAAGCUCUUGGUAGAGCUCUCACGCAUGUAAGUUAACUAUUUGAUUAUCACUUACACUUCUUUUUCUUUCUCUAGAAAAGUUUUAUAUGUUUUUCUGCUUUUACUUUUAGAUAACUGAUAACACAAAAAUCAUUUGAGUUCAUUCAAGUAUGAUGAAUUUGUUGAUGCUAAUCACAUUUCUGAAAAGGAAUCUUCCUUCUCUAAAUGAAGUUGGAUAAUAUAGCUAGUCAGUGGUGUUUGACGCUGUCUUUAGAAGUUGUAAUUUAACAUGGAAUAAUAUUUUAUACACCACAUGAUAUUUGUAUGAUUAAAAUGAAAAGUUUAGAGAGAUAAUGUUGUGAAGUAUAUAAAGGAAAGAGCAGGAAAAAAGUAUUACUUUAGAGGGACGUGCUCUGAAUAAGGAUUGAAAGAUGCGCUGAGUAAGGAUUGAAAGAUCACCUUCCGACUUGUUUUGUCGGAUAUAAUGAGUGAAAGAGGUUAUGCUUUUAGUAUGAGUUAAUUACCUCCUAAAUUUGUGUGAAGUAUUUCAUUAGGCAUGCACUUUCUUGAUCUUAGACUAGAAGGGGGAAAAAGAGUCGGUGGCUAUAAGUUCACUUUUCCUAGUUCACUUAUUUAUAUCAUUUGAGAAUAAUUAAAUAUUUCGUUUCUGAAAUUAAUCAAUCAACUAUACCUGAAUCUACCCCAUAUUUUAUGGAUAGAGUGAAGUAAAAUGGGUAGAACAUGGAAAGCAGAAGCUUGUAUUCGGGUAGGGUGGCCAUAGUUGGGAAAAGAGAAGGAAAGAUAUUUGGUUUUUUUGGGGGGGGGGGGGAGGAAGGUAAAAAUUUUCAGAGUAGACGUCAUUGAGUUACAGUCAAUAACUCUGGAGUGUAAAAUAAAAUUUUGAAAAUAUUUUUGAGACAUGCUGCAAAUUAGAUAAGUUGACUUAAAGAAAUGCCUCCAAUGAAAAACUCAUCAAUUAGAUGACUCGACUUAAAAUUCCAUUUUAUGUUAACUUUUUUUUUGGUCUGUUUUAAAAAAAAUAAUUUAUUUUUAAAUUUAAAAAUAAUUUAGUUUAAACUUUUAAUUUUAUCCUUAAUAAAAAAAAUUUAUAAUCAUAUAAAUACAUACUUUGAACUUUUAUCUCCUAUCUGACUUAUUAGAAUCACAAAUUUUAAAAGCAGAGAGCGAGUAUGUGUUAAGAUACCUAAGUAUGCAUUUUCGGUGAAUAUGAUGUUGCUCUGAUGACAUAAUAGCAUAACCCGUUCUGCCUUUUGAGUCGUAGUUAUACUUUUGUAUGUAAGGUAGUUAUAAGUCUGUCGUUUUCGGUCUGCCUUUUUUCUCAAUAGAGGGUGUCAAAAACAAAAUAUGGCUCUGUUAGCAUGCAUGCAACUGCCACGCGUCAUAGCAUGAACGCAUAAGCUUACACGUAUUUGAGAUAGUCACGUGUCAAAUGACCUCGCUCUUCUCUCUACACGUAGUUGGAUACUCAGACACAACGUGAAAAAAUAAAAAUCAUGACAGGAUUUGACUCCUCUCCGUUGCCUUCAUUUUCCCAAGUUAUAGGAGUAACCUAUACCAUUCUAAAAUUAAUGGUCUAGAUUUAAUUAACUAAAAUAAGGCAUUAAUCAUAGUUGAGUAAUAAAUAUUCCAUAUAUAAUUUUCAGAAAUUUUGAUAUUCCCUCCUACAAACUCCAUUUCUGGCGGCCAAAAGUUAUCCCCAAAAGAAUUUACCAACAUGCAUGUCAAUCCUUUUAAAAAUUUAAGUUGCAAUCUAUCGUCACUACUAGAAAUCCGGUAAAAAUCGAUCAAAAAAAUCGACCAACGUUGGUUGGUAAUGGUCAAAAACCGGUCAAAACACGACCAUUUACAUGUGGACGGUAUUUUUGUGGCCAGAAAGGAAUACCGACCAAAGUUGGUCGGAAAUUACCGACCAACUUUUGUCGGUCAAUUAAAUUCAAAAAAAAAAAAUAUUGCAAAAAAAACCGAACCAAAGUUAGGUCGGUANNNNNNNNNNNNNNNNNNNNNNNNNNNNNNNNNNNNNNNNNNNNNNNNNNNNNNNNNNNNNNNNNNNNNNNNNNNNNNNNNNNNNNNNNNNNNNNNNNNNNNNNNNNNNNNNNNNNNNNNNNNNNNNNNNNNNNNNNNNNNNNNNNNNNNNNNNNNNNNNNNNNNNNNNNNNNNNCCGCAUUUUUUGCGCCAAAGAAAACCGACCAAAGUUGGUCGGUUUCGUCAAAAAAAAAUUAAAAAAAUAUUUUGAAAAACCGACCAACUUUGGUCGGUUUUUUGACCGACCAAAGUUGGUCGGUCGACCUUGAUCGGUUUUUGCCGAAUUUCUAGUAGUGCGUAGUAAAUUUACCCUUUCAUUCCACAAUUUUCUUUUCAUUAUUCUGGAUUUCACUAUCCUUUUAAAAAAAGUUGAAAUAAUUAUUUAUAAAUUCAAUCUAAUUUUAACCGAAAAAUUAAACUUUAUACGUAGCAGAACCAUGUGUUGGAGAGCUUUGAAUUAUUAUUGUUGUAUUACUUUCUCCUUUUCAUUGGUAGAUUUGUGGUCACAUCUCAAAAUUAACAUAUGGAUGUUUCUCAUUCAUUUGUACCAAUAAACCUUGGGAUAAAAUUUGAUUCAUUUAGACUUGCAUAUGAAUACUACGAAAGAAAACACUGGUAGAAUUGGUUGGAAAGAAAAUUACUACAAGAAACAAAGAAGGAAUCUUAGAUAAUGUGUAGUUAUUAUUGUGGGAUUGUAAAAGAUAUUAUUUGGAAAUAAAUAAAAGAAGGAAUUAAAUACUUUAAUUAUGGUUAGUGUUUUAUUUUAUUUAAUUAAAUUUUAUCCAUUAAUAAUUAAUCAUGACAAGCUUCCCCAAUCUAAGUAGGAACUUGGAGAAAUGGUGAGACUAGGAAAUGGAGGGGAGUUGGUGUGAUAGUACUACCAUUUAACUGUUAAACUAUUCAUUAACAAAUUAAGAUUCAGCACGUGCUAGAACUCUGAAUUCGAUUCUCACAUUAUCCUUAUUCUGCAAUUAUAUUUUAACUAUCUGAUACUAGUAAGAUAACAAUAAAGAUAAGGACAGAGCGUAGAGCUUUUUUCUUUUGAUCUACACAAAAAGCAAUAUGAAAUUAUGUGAAGAUGUUUUCUCUUUCUAUGACUCAUUGAGUGUAUAACAGAUUGUAAGACUUAAUAGUACUACCUAAUGUAACAAUUGUUGAUACGAAGGUCCACUUUUUUUAACAUUUAAUCUACAAUGUGCGAAGUAUUUUGAGGAAAAAGGAUAAGUCUGAAUAGAUGAGACAUUUUUGUCACUCAGCUGUAUUUGUUGUAGUAUAAUUUAUUGAAGUUAAGGGGGGUUUUGCAAUUUACUUGUUCUUAUUUUUUUCCGUUUUUUCUUUUUUUAUUACACAUACAUUAGGGAAGGGCGUUUAAGGCAGGGAAUAGAAGUCCCACCAACAAAAUGAAAGUUGAGUAGGGCUUCAAUGACGGGAAAAUGCAUGUUGUCAAGACAACCUACUGAACUAUCAUAAUUCUCUUUACUUAUUCUUAUUCAUCUAAGGCUAUUUCAGAUAUUGGCGUUGCUAAAUGAGAUUCCAGCUUCCUCGAGGAAGUACCAGUUUGCAAUGGGAAUGGCUGACAAGAUUGUAGAUGAGAACACCAGAUGCGGACACGUGGAAAUGCUCCAAGUCAAUCGUGCGGCCCUGGCUUCAGCAUUCGCGCGUACGUCAGGAUUUCUUUACGGCUCUCUUAAAAGCCCCCGCAUGUCGGAGGAUUCAGGAACGUGGCCCUCACGCAUUCUUCGAUCUCUACCUCUGGGUUCUUUUGUGGCUUCUUCGCUCAAAGGUCUGGGCACAUUUUUCCCAUGGGUCGGAACAGCCACGAGCCUUCUUCAAAACAAGAGACCAUCUGCUGUUCCGUGUGAGGAGAGGGUAAAUGACUUGGCGGCUGAGAAACACGCACAAGAACUGCUAUGGAUAACGACUAAGAUGGUGGGGUGUGGUGCUGUGGAUGAAGCUUUGGUGCAAUGGAGCUUUGCUUCUGGCUUGGCUUCUAUUUCUCUUUCCUCUAAUUCUAGGGUGCAAGGCUUCAUUGUCAAGAUCACAGGUAGAUAAUUAUUGUAUUAUUAUUGUUAUCAUUAUUAUCAAUACGAUGUUUUAAGAUAUUUGAAUUUUGACGUUGCAUUUACUUGUAGCAAUAUUAUUUGGAGAACUUAAGCUUAUGAAAAACGAAGUUCCAAGGCAAGUGAAGUUCAACAUACUAGUGCUGUGGCUUCCAUUAUUCUGCUAUGCAGACAACGGGCUUUCGUAUCCAGUAUUGACAGGAUUCGAGAAGGUUGAGAUGGAGAAGACAAUGGACGAAUUGAUCUCAUCGCUGCCCACAAUCGACCAAGAGGUAAUUCUCACCAACUGGCUGCAAGACUUCACGACAACGUCUUCGGACUGGCCAAAUCUCCAGAAAUCAUAUGACCUUUGGUGCCAGUCCACUCGGGAGCUCGUUGCAUGAGUUGUGCGAAGAAGAAGGAUCACACUGUGUCUUAAGUAAUAUAUCGUUGUAAAAGCCGAGCUUUUUUGCUUGACUGUUAUAUAGUUGGGUUUAUACGACCCAAUAGAAGUGCCAUAUGCACCUUGAGUUCGGCCGUUCCUUUUUCUUCCUUUUUAUUUUCCAAACUAUUUCCUUGGUUUAUAUAGCUUUCCUGUAUCUUUACCUUUUUCACAUCUUUAUUACUCCUUUCGUUUCAAUUUUUGUGAACGUAUUUGUUUGGGCACGGAAUUUAAGAAAAAAUAAAAACUUUUGAAAUUUGUGGUCCUAAACAAGUCAAAAAGGGGCCAGAGUAUUUGUGUGGUUAUAAAAGCUUAUCUAAAAUUGUAAGUUUAAGUAAAAUUAUUUUCAAAUUUAAAAAGGAAUCAUUCUUUUUGGAAGGACAAUAGAGGUUCACAUAAACUGAAACAGAGAGAAUAGUAGUAAUAAAUAUAAGCUACAUAUCCUACUUCUCUUAUUGUAAUUUGUGAUGAUCAACACUAUUAAGAGCUAAUGGAUUCUGAAUAGAUCAAAACACAUGCAUUACAGAUGUAUCGCUACAAAUUACAAGCGGAUUUUCCUAGGGAUUAUAUAGGAAAUUUUGCAGGUAAUGUAAUAUCUUGUGAAUUUUGCUAUGAAAAAAGGUAAUUAAUUAUUACCUUCAUAAGUAAUUAUUACCUGCGAAUUUUAAAAUUCUUAAGUACGUCACCUUGGAAUUUCGAAUUCUCAUAUAAAUUACUUGCAGAAUUUUUCGCAAGAAACACUAAUAAUUUGCAGGAAACUUGAUAAAAAUUCAUGAAAGAAAGAAGUUUUCUUACGGAUUCUUUGCAAGUAAUUUCCCAUGAACAACUUCUUGCAGAUUUUUCACAAUUGGAAAAAAAUAUGGAAAAAGUGAUUUAUUGUUUUAGUUAUUUUGUUUUCAAUUUAAUGUCCCCAUUAUUUCUUUUGGACUACAAUAUUUUUUCGAUUUAAUAUAACACCAACAUUUCCUCCAUAACCCAGCCACCGGGAAAGCAAACCUCAAUUUAAUUUCUUCAUAUUAAUUCUUUUAUAAGUACAAUAAUUUUUGGAUUUUAUAUAAUUAAAUUAACAACACACCCCAAUUAUCUCCUCCUUACUCACAACCCACCCCAUGGGAACAAGCGAACACUAGCCACAUCUUCAAUUCCAAACCCAGAAAUUCAGUUGCUAUAACGAUCCAACCGGUCGUUCCGAGCUCUAGCAUGUUGUUCGGCAGUUUCAGAUCUUAAAUAGCUUCACUUUGUAUAUUAUGAUUUGCACGUGUAGUCGGUUUUAAUUUUCGAGAAGUUCGGAAUUGAUUUAGAAGAAUAACUCUCAAUUCGGAAGUUUUAAGUUGGAAGAGUUGACCAAUGUUUGACUUUUGAGUAAACGACCUCGGAAUCAGGAUUUGAAGGUUCAUAUAGGUUCGUAAGGUGAUUUCGGACUAUGUCGUAUGUUCGGGUUGAGUAUUGGGUGGUUCGGGGGUGAUUCAGCGCUUAUUAUCGGAAGUUUGCAUUUUGAAGGUUUUGAAUUAGCUAAGUUUAACCUAGAGUGGACUUUAGCGUCAUCGAACUUUGGGAUAUGUUCCGGGACCUGAUAGGUUCAUUUAGUUGGUUGGAACUUGUGUGUGAAGAUUUGUCGUAGUCCGGAAUGUCUAAGUGUGAUUGGGACGCGUUCGGCAAAGUUUGAAGGUUUGAACCUUAAAAAAAGGAUUUUGAUCGUCGAUUCUUGGUUUUGAUGUUGUUCAUGGCGUUUCGAGCUUUGGUUGGAACUUGUAUGUGAAGUUUGGUCGUAUUCCGGAAUGUGUAAGUGUGAUUCGGACGCGUUCGGCGAAGUUUGAAGGUUUGAACGUUAAAAAAGGAUUUUGAUCGUCGAUUCUUGGUUUCAAUAUUAUUCAUGGCGUUUCAAGCUUUGGAUAAGUUUGGAUAAAGUAUUGGGACUGGCUUGUAUAAUUGGACGGGGACCCGGGGGCCUUGGGGGUGUUUCGGGGUGGUGUCAGACCAUGUUGGAGUGCUUUGGUACUGCUGGUUCUGGUUUUGUUCUUUGCGAACGUGGUGGGAGGCACGCGUUCGCGAUGAUGGAUUUAGGCUAGAGGCCAUUUGUGCUUUAAGUUUGUUGAGCCACGUUUGCGGAGGCUUGGUGCAGUAAUGCUUCGCGUUCGCGACAGCGAGAUCGCCUUCGCGAAGAAGAAGCUGGGACUGGAGGUUGGCCUUCGCGUUCACGAAGGGCCGACCGCGUUUGCGUAGGGCAGGCUAGGUAAGGCAUCGCGUUCGCGGACCCAAUCUCGCAUUCGCGAGGAGGAUUAUUGGGCAGCUGUAGAUUUGGCCUUCGCGAUCGCGAGGAAGCUUCUGCGAUUGCGAAGAGGAAGGGCCUGGGCAGAAUAUAAGUUAGCGAAUCGGGAAUUUGCUCAUUUCAACUCAUUUCUCUCUUGCUAAGGUGACUUUGGGCAAUUUGGAGAAGCCAUGUUCAUCAUCUAUUAUAAGGUAAGUGAUUUCCACGUGUUGUAAGUUAAAUACAUGGAUUAUGUAUGGAUUUAAACAUUGAAAUUGGUAGAAAUUAUGGGAUUUUGGAAGAAAAGCUAUAAAUGGUAUUUUUGAGUUUUGACCAUGAAUUGGACAUGGAAUUGGUAAUAAAUUAUAUAUUUGAGUUUGUGAUGCUAUGGGUAAUAUUUAUCUUCGAGAAUUUCGAAAACCGGGCGUGUGGGCCCGGGGGUUGAUCUUGUUGACUUUUCGUGUGGAUUUGGGAAUUUUUUCUAUUUGAUUAAAUUACGAGUCUUUGGGUAUAUUUUGAUUGGGUUGCACGUUCUUUGACUAGUUUUGGAUCGUUUGACAUUAAUUUGAGGUGUCAGAGAGGUGUUGGAACCGGUUAUUGAAUUUUGGAGCGAGGUAAGUAUUCUGUCUAACCUUGUAAGAGGAAAUUUACCACGUAGGUGCUAUUUUUGUUAUGUGCUACGUGUUAUGGGUGCUACACACGUAUGAGGUGACGAGUGUCCGUGCGUAUACUAGAACUCUUAAUUAUGUCCGAGUAGACUUAGACUCACACUAUGUUUCAAUUAUAUUGUUUGAGUUAUUCUUCCCUGUUUAAAUGCCUUAUUAUUUUAUCCCGAGACUGAACUUGCAUAGAGUAUCGAACUUUGCUAUUUUAGAUACUUGACGAGCUACUUGAUUAGUCAUAAAAAUUAUACUUCUUUUAUAGAUUUAUCCUGCGUUGUGCGUAUUCGUUCAAAAGUUUCUUGAAUUUCAUAACUCACACAUAUAUUCGUGAGUGGACCACUGACCCGUCAAAGUUUCAUAUUCUUAUGGGAUCGGGUUGAACGCCUUAGCAAUACUCUUAUGGGAUCGAGCUAAACACUUCAACAGUACUCUUAUGGGAUCGGGCAAUUUGCCCCGGCAGUAUCAUGUAAUAUAUUCUUAUGGGAUCGGUCCAUUCGCCUCGACAGAAUCGUGAGUAAUAUUCGAUAAGGACUUAGCGUACCUAUAAGUCUUUCUGACUUGAGAUGUGAUGUUUUAUUUGGGAUUGAUCAUUAUGUAUUUUAUUCGAGGUAGUAUCCGGCAUUUGAGAACUUAGUAUUUGCCCCUCUGUUGAGGAUCGUGCCAUACACAUACAUCUGCUUCGUUUCUUUUACCUAUUCUUCAUACCUGUCUACUUUUAUUGUACUUGAUUAUUGGACCACUAGUAAGUGUCUAGGUCGACCCCUCGUCACUACUUCUCGAGGUUAGGCUAGAUACUUAGUGGUUACGGAUUGAUUUACUUACUCAUACUACACUUCUACACUAAUUAUGCAGGUACUGAGACAUGUAUAUUUGGUGGUCACACAGGAGCGUAGGUGCAGCUGCUGAGGAGACUUUGUGGUGAGAUGCAUUCCAUAUUACGAUUCGCAGCACACGGAGUCCCCUUCCAAUUCAUUAUUGCAUUUUGUCUAGUUUCUAUUCUAGACAGUUAUUGUAGUAGUAUUGUAUAUUCUAGUAGAUGUUCAUGCACUUGUGACACCGGAUUUUAGGAAUUUAAAUUAUUAAUCUUGGAUGUAUUCUGUUACGACAUUUGGUAUUGCAUUUUGAUCAUGUUCUAAUAUUUUAUAAAAAUAAAGAAAUUUUACAUAAUUAUUUCACCAUUAUUUUAAAAUAUGUUAGGAACCAUCGAUAAUCGUGUUGAUUAAAUUAUUGGCUUGCCUAAUGGCUGCGUUGUGUGCAAUCACGGCCUAUGGUGGGAAAUGGGUCGUAAAAACUUGGUAUUAGAGCACUAGGUUCACUUAGGUCUCACGAGUCAUGAGCAAGUCUAGUAGAGUCUUGCGGAUUGGUACAAAGAUGUUUGUACUUAUCUUUGAGAGGCUAAAGGGCUAUUAAGAGAACUUCCCUUUCUUGGUUCCUUAUCGUGCGACUUGAUUUUGGUUGAAGCUUAUGUCUUCAGUUUCUUCCUACUCAUUCGUACACGAUGUCUAGCAUUAUAUCAGUUAGGCACCGACGAGUUGUAAAGAUGCUACAUAUGUGAUGCAAGAUAUUUUUCCCUACGUAUGUGGACGGACUACUAUCGUCGCCUUGUGGAGGGGUGUUAAGUCAUUUCAGUCAAUGUUGGUGUUGCCCACGAGUUAUGCGCUAUACACGGUGUAUUGUGAUGUUUCUCGCAUUGUUAUCGCGAAGUAUUGGUGUGAACGGUAGGGUGUUUACUUAUGCAUUGCGGCAGUGAAUACUUUAGGAUGAGGAUUAUUCGGUUCGUGACUGGAAGAUUUGGUAUUUAAUUCCAACGCAGAAGAGGAAGUUGGGCUAUGGAUGUUCAUUAUUUGGUUGACGGAGUAGCAAGAUUUGAUAUCUCUUAACUUAGUGGAAUUCUUGUUUGUAUUGUGGUGUCGUCGUCCUUGUUUGAACGAAUUAAGGCUCGUCAGUAUGAUGGUCUUCAUUUGUUUGCCUUUGGGGGUAUGGUGUUGCGAAGUGGUACCUAAGAAGUGAUUAUCGGAGAUGACGAUGUGUUGCGACUUUGGGGUCGAAUCGCUAUUUUUAUUGUGGAUGGUUCGUGGGAGAUGAUCCUUGAGGUGGCUUAUCUACUUAGGAAGUUCAAAUGUGAUGAAAAGAGUUUGCUUGUAAUGUAGAGGAACGUGAAUGCUUGAUUAUCAUUUUGGGCAAUAUGUUUGUCACACCCCUUUUUUUAACCCUUUAACCCUCUUAAAAUGAUAAAAAGUGGGUUUUAAGCUCAAAAGGGUUUUCAAUUGAAAGUGACAAGAGUUUGUGUUUCAAAAGUUUUUUUAGAGUCGCCACCUGACAUUUGGUUUCGGUGUGCCAGGUCACCAUUGUUUUAAAAAACAUUUCCUUCAAAACACAUUGACCGUAAAACUGACUGCACCAGAAGUUCUGAAUAAGGGAAUUCAUUUGACUCAUGGGGAAGGUAUUAAGCAUUCCCCAAGUCCCGUAACUAGUACGGUUGCACACUUGAUCAAAUUGGAUAUUAAGAAUACUCAGAUCGAGAUAGAAACAUACAAAUAAAAAUAAAGACACAAGAGACUCGAGGUUGUCCCCACCUAAAUAAGAGAAAAUAAAAUAAGAGAAAAAUACUAAAAGUCUAUACCAAAGCUUCCACGAUGAUGUCGUCCUUUGCUUCUAUUUACAUAUAUUGCUGGGCAUUCCCCUAAAUAAAAUAAUAUUUACAAAAAAAAAAAGCUCUUCAGGGCAUUCCUCUGAGUAUAAACUAAAGAGAACAACCUCUCACCUUGAAUAAAAAUAAAAUAAAAGACCUAAGGUUUGCCUACCCAAGUAUGGUAGGCCUAAACAUGUUACUAUCGAUGAGAGAUGAAACAAGAAUAACAAAAUCUUUCUUAAACUUAUACUCUAUCUCAUUAUUGAUCAAGCCUCAGGUCCAAUUUUAAACUGACAACUGCACGACCAACUUGAUUAUUUAGGAUCCAAUUUUGCUUUAGUUCAUUAUACUGAAACCUAUAGCCCAUAAACUGAUAUCAACUAAAGAAAUUCAAUCGACAACUCAAACAAUUAUUAUCUUAUCAAUGUAAUCUAGCUAAAUCAGUGACAAAUCAUGGACAACUAAAUAAUAAUUAACAACAAAUAAUGGGAUCAAAGCAGAGUAUUUAAGAGAAGAAUGGACCUCAAGGUGCGACACCCUUUCAAUUACAGCAACGGUAGUACGAACAGGAGCCGGGAUCGGAAAAGCGAACCACGAUCGGAACCUCUGAUCGAAAUUGCUUCUGGUGAUCUCGAACUCGACUUUGGAGCUGCUGUUUUUGUGCGAAGAGGGAGCUGUUUUUUUUGUUCUUCGGCUGGGUUUGGAGCGGGUUUUGACUGGUUUUCGGAGGUGUUUUGCUGCUAGUUCUGGAACAGAUUUGAGGUCAUUUUUGGAGCUGUUCGCAGCUGUUUACAAGGCUGAUUUUUGGGUGAAGUUGGGUGUAUUUAAUGGAGCCUUUGUAGUAUUUUGAUGGCUGGUUUCCAUGGUGAGAACGUGAGAGAGUAGAAGAUGGUCUGCGGCGGCAAAGGAUUUUUCCGCUGCUAAUCUCGCCGCCUCCCCCUCUGUUUUUUUUUCUAAAAUCUCCCUUUUUAUCCCUUCCAAUUUUGGACUCUCUCUUAUCACGUGAACUUGGUGCCCAAGAAAGGAUUUUUCUAGAAUGAGCAGAUGUGAAUUGUAGUUUGUUAUAGGGAAUCAUGUGGACAUGUGAGGUGAGAAGAGGUGAUUGGAGAUUGAGAGAAAAAGAAAUAUAUAUCUAAAAAUAAAAUAAUAAAGGAGGAUAAGGGACCACUUUCACUUUUCUUUCCUAUUUUUUAGUUUUGCUUUUUCCAUUCUUUACUUUCUGUUUCUCUUUUUUUUCAUUGUUUAAAGAUAAUCCAAAGUAACAAAAACUAAAAAUUAAAUACUACUAAAUUAAAAUAGCAAAACAAAUUCCAAUUGCUUUAGAUUAAUAGGGAAUAAAUAUUAGACAGAAAAAUAUAGUAACUAUAUUAAAGGGAUUUAACUACUACUAUUACUAAGUAUUUCCUAAAGCCUCCAACUUAAAAAUCACUAAACUGAGUAAAAAUAUUUUUGUGAAAGUUUUUUUGUUUUUUUUUUAAUCUUUUUUAAAAAUAAAUACCAAGACAAUUUUAGUUUUUUUUAAUUUUAUAAGAAGUAAGAUAAAUAAAAAAAAUGCUAGACAAAAUACCAACUAGAUAAAAUCAAGAAAAAUAUUUUUGUAGUUUUUAUUUUUAGGAUAAAAUAAAGCAAAAAGGUAAAAAAUAAUCAAAAUAGCAUUACUACACCUAAAACCAACACUAAGCACUAAAAGAUGUAAAAUUUCAAGGAAGGUCAAAAAUUACAUGUCUACAGCUGCCCCCUUUUGACUGGAAACACGAAGAGUUUUCAGACAAAGAUCGACGAGACAACUUUUUUGACCCGAACCUUAUUUAAAGAGAACAAAAAUAAAAUAAAUAUAGUGCGACCGAGUCCUGGUUUUGGACAGCCUACGUAUCCCGGGUUAUAAGGGAAUCAGGUCACGUGUAGUUCAAAAGUGAAUGGAGUGAUGGAGUAUGACGAGACGGGAAGAGAGUCGAGUGAGGUUCCGUCGAGGUUCCGUUCCGCGGUUCCUGUCAUUACAUCAAAAAUAAAAUCAAAUAAGAUAAAAAUUACAAGAAAAACUGCAAAAUCCUAUCUACUCUUCUAUCAUGAAUCUUUUCCCGGUCUUGUGUGCAUCUCGAACUGUUGACUCACAUUCUUAAGGCGAGCUUCUGCUACUUCUAACUUGAAUUGACCCUAUUCUUUAGGCGGCCCCCUGGUACUCAUGAUUUGAACUUGAAAAUUGAAACUGACCAUGUUCUUCAGGCAGGCAUUUGCUGCUCGAACAUGAAUGUAACUUGAAAGUUGACCCUAUUCUUCAGGCGGGCUCUUGCUGUUUAGACUUGAAGUAGACUUGAGCUUGAAACCAAUUUCUGAUGUAAAUACCCUCAUUCUCCAGAUGGGUGCCUGACGUUCUUGAUUCGAACUUGAAUUCAAUUUGAAGUGGAUACAUUCGUUCUCAAAAUGGGCCCCUACUACUGACUUGAAACUCGAAAUAAACUCUGAAAUGAAUACCCCCGUUCUCCAGGUGGGCGCCUGCAACUGAAUUGAAGUCAUGUUGAAAUAAAUCCCCUCAUUCUCCAUGUGGGUGCCUGCAAUCACAAUGAAAAAGACAAAAUAAUGGAAACAUUCUGCCCCAGUUUGUACCAGGAACAUUUGUGAGUAUUAGUCGAAUCCCAUUAUCCAAAAGGGUUCUAAGAAUUUAAAGACUAAAUCCCAUUAUCCAGGAGGGUACUGAAGACUAAAAACUAAAUCCCAUUAUCCAGGAGGGUCCUGAAAACUUAAAACUAAAUCCCAUUAUCCAGGAGGGUCCUGAAGACUAAAAAAUAAAUCCCAUUAUCUAGGAGGGUCCUGAAAACUAAAAACUAAAUCCCAUUAUUCAGGAGGGUCCUAAAAACUUAAAAACUAAAUCCCAUUAUCCAGGAGGGUCCUGAAAACUAAAAACUAAAUCCCAUUAUCCAGGAGGGUCCUACAAACNNNNNNNNNNNNNNNNNCNNNAAACAUAAAACUAAAUCCCAUUAUCUAGGAGGGUCGUGAAAACUAAAAACUAAAUCACAUUAACCAGGAGGGUCCUGAAAACUUAACACUAAAUCCCAUUAUCUAGGAGGGUCUUGAAAACUAAAAACUAAAUCAUAUUAUCCAGGAGGGUCCUGAAAACUAAAAACUAAAUCCCAUUAUCUAGGAGGGUCCUGAAAACUUAAAAUUAAAUCCCAUUAUCCAGGAGAAUCCUAAAAACAUAAAACUAAAUCCCAUUAUCCAGAAGGGUCCAGAAAACUUAAAACUAAAUCCCAUUAUUCAGGAGGAUCCUGAAAACUUAAAAUUAUAUCCCAUUAUACAGGAGGGUCCUGAAAACUAAAAACUAAAUCCCAUUAUUCAGGAGGGUCCUGAAAAACUUAAAACUAAGUCCCAUUAUCGAGGAGGGUCCUACAAAUUUAAAAGCUAAAUUCCAUUAUCUAGGAGGAUCCUGAAAAACUUAAAACUAAAUCCCAUUAUCCAUGAGGGUCUUGAAAACUUAAAAUUAAAUUCCAUUAUCCAAGAGGGUCCUGAAAAUUUAAAACUAAGUCCCAUUAUCCAGAAUGGUCCCGAAAACUUAAACUUAAAUCCCAUUAUCCAGGAGGGUUCUGAAAACUUAAAACUAAACCCAAUUAUCUAGGAGGGUCCUGAAAAACUUAAAACUAAAUCCCAUUAUCCAGGAGAGUCCUAAAAAUUUAAAAUCAAAUCUCAUUAUCCAGGAGGGUCCUGAAAACUUAAAAUUAAAUCUCAUUAUCCAGGAGGGUCUUGAAAAACUUAAAAUUAAAUUCCAUUAUCCAAGAGGGUCCUAAAAACUUAUAAUUAAAUCCCAUUAUCGAGGAAGGUCCUGAAAACUAAAAAUUAAAUCCCAUUAUCCAGGAGGGUCCCGAAAACUUGAAAAAUAAAUCCCAUUAUCCAAAAGGGUCCUGAAAGACUAAAACUAAAGCCCAUUAUCUAGAAGGGUCCUGAAAACUAAAAACUAAAUCACAUUAUCCAGGAGGGUCCUAAAAACUAAAAACUAAAUCCCAUUAUCCAGGAGGGUCCUGGAAACUUACAAUUAAAUCUCAUUAUCCAAGAGAAUCAUAAAAACUUAAAACUAAAUCCCAUUAUCCAGGAGGGUCCAAAAAACUUAAAACUAAAUCCCAUUAUCCAGGAGGGUCCUGAAAACAUAAAAUUAUAUCCCAUUAUACNNNNNNNNNNNNNNNNNNNNNNNNNGAAAACUUAAAACUAAAUCCCAUUAUCCAGGAGGGUCUUGAAAAACAUAAAACUAAAUCCCAUUAUCCAAGAGGGUCCUGAAAACUUAAAAUUAAAUUCCAUUAUCCAGGAAGGUCCUGAAAACUUAAAAUUAAAUCCCAUUAUCCAGGAGGGUCCCGAAAACUUGAAAAAUAAAUCCCAUUAUCCAGAAGGGUCCUGAAAGCCUAAAACUAAAUCCCAUUAUCUAGGACGGUCCUGAAAAUUUAAAACUAAAUCCCAUUAUCCAGGAGGGUCCUGAAAAACUUAAAAGUAAGUACCAUUAUCGAGGAGGGUCUUGCAAAUUUAAAAGCUAAAUCCCAUUAUCUAGGAGGGUCCUGAAAAACUUAAAACUAAAUCCCAUUAUCUAGGAGGGUCCUAAAAACUUAAAACUAAAUCCCAUUAGCCAAGAGGAUCCUGAAAACUUAAAACUAAAUCUCAUUAUCCAGAAGGGUCCUGAAAACUUAAAUUAAAUUCCAUUAUCCAAGAGGGUCCUGAAAACUUAAAACUAAACCCCAUUAUCCAGGAGGGUCCUGAAAACUUAAAACUAAAUCUCAUUAUUCAGGCGGGUCCUGAAAACCUUAAAACUAAAUCCCAUUAUCCAGGAGGGUCCUGAAAAGCCGAAAAUAAACUUACCUGAACCAUGAUUUCCUCAUCGAGGAUCCCUGUAGAAUGAAUAAAAUUUCUUGCCCAUGAACCAUGCUUUCCUCAUGGAGGGUCCCUGCAGAUCAAACAAAUUUUCUUGCCCCUGUUUCAAACAAAUAAAAUAUUGUUAGUUUGAAAACGUAGUGGUUAGUUUGUUGCAUCAUUGCUGAAGGUGUCCGCUUCUGCCACUGUCAUGCUUCAUUCUGACUAUCUGCUUCGGGCUAACAAGGAAUUUUUGACCUCCUGAUCAAACCUCGACCACGAAAACCUUAGAGUGACCCGAAUCCCUUACACUCACUUGUUGUAUUGCGUUCUCAUUCUGACAAUUAUUGGACCUUUGCAUUUACUCAAAAUUCAAGAAUCACUUGAUCGCCUGAACUUCGGUUAUCACCACAUUGCUCAUUUUGAAUCAUGUCACUUGUGAUGUGCUUGGCUGAACUUCGCUUUGUGCAAUUAAAAAGCUGGUAGUAGGCUUUGAAAUCCUUUCUUGCUUGUUUUACAAAGACUAACUUGAAAGAGACUUAGAAAAAUAGAACCAAAAGAACAAAGUGAAGUGAUUUUUGGCAAAAGGAACAAAAGAAAAAUUUGAAUAAAGAUGACUAUUUGAAGAAGAGUGGAAAAGAGACUUAUCUGAGUGAAGCAGCUAGAUCCAAUGAUCAUUACAUGCAUUUCGGAUUGAUCAGCCUAAUCCGUCCGACCAAUCACACUUUCAGUUUGUAUCAUGUCUUCAUACUUCAAAAUCGAGCCUUCAUGAUCUAACUUCUCUGUAAAGUCCAUGAUCCUCAUUUGACUUAUAGUGCCUCGAAGGGUUUUCACCAUCAAGCCUUUCUCAUUUGUUCAUCUCUCAACUCACCGUCGCCUUACGGUGCCCAUGAGUAUUUUCACCAAUAAGAUUCUCUCAUUUUAAUUUUUUCUCUCAACUCACCAUCGCCUUACGGUGUCCGUGAGGGUUUUCACCAAUAAGACUAUCUCAUUUUAUUCAUUUUUUCUUGUGCCCAUGAACGAAGUAUUAUUCAUGAUAUAAGAAAAUCAUACCUCCAUCUCGCUUGACUUGGCAUCCUCAAAGAUUGAUUGGAAGGUCUUUCUUUGGACCGUAAUGUAGGCUUUUGGACAGGGUUAGAAAGAAAGGGUGGCAUGAAGGCUCAAAAUAACGUAAGAUGAAAGGGUUUAAAAUUACAACUUUUGAAAUCAGAUCUUUUGCAAAACUAAAACUUCUGCCCCAGUUUCUUUGAGUCUGGGGAACUUUGAAUUUUUAUUUUGAUGGGACCGAACCUUAGAGUAAGGCUGCCUACGUAUCCUUAAAAGGAAUCAGGUCGAACUUAGUUCCAACCACAAUUUGUUUUGUUUUGUUCUUUUCUUUUUCUUUUUUUUUUGGGUUUUUUUUCUUUUUUUUCCUUUUCUUUUUCUUUUUUUUCUUUUUUCUUUUUUCUUUUUUUCGUUUCUUUUUAUNNNNNNNNNNNNNNNNNNNNNNNNNUUUNUUUUUUUUUUUUUCUUUUUUUUUUUUUUCGUUUCUUUUAUGUUUUUUUAUUUUCUAUUUUCUAAAUCUACUUCUGAUUCCAAAAGAGGGGUAUAAAAGAAAAUAAAUAAGGCUAAAAAGGGAUAACAAAGGAUAAAAGUGUUUGGGUAGCAGAAUAAAAUGCCUUCGUCAUUCCAACUUUGAACAUGCCAAAUACAAAAAUGCAAUCGAAGAUAAGCAAAGAAAUCAUACAUAAUAUCUCUUGACUAGAUCAGAUUUGAUAGCCAUACCCAUAUAUUUGCCUUUUAUGUCUGUUAAAUACAAAGCACCAUUGGGCAACACUCUUUUCACAAUGAAUGACCCCUGCCAGUUUAGGGCGAACUUGCCUUUAGUUUCAGCCUGAUGUAGAAAGAUCUGCUUCAAUACCAGUUAUCCGACCUCAAAUUUCCGGGGACGUACCUUCUUGUUGUAUGCUCUUGCCAUUCUUUUCUGAUACAAUUGACUAUAACACAUCGCUGCUAAUCUUUUCUCAUCAAUCAAACUCAGCUGCUCUAGCCAGGUUUUGACCCACUCAUCAUCAUAAUUUCAGCUUCAGCGAUAAUUCAAAGGGACGAGGUCUCAACCUUUUUUCCCUCAAAUGAUGCUUCUUCAUCAUAUUCAACUUCUUGGUUCAUUAUUUCAAGACUAGACUAGCUUUUAAGAUCUGGCUGAAAAUUCCUCAUGCAUGUCGUGUCAUUGGAACCAACAUAAAAAUAACUAUACUAAAGAAAAAUAAAAAUGAAACACACAUUAGGAAUAACGGAAAACGGAAAACUACAUUUCAUCAAGAAUAAAAGGAUAGAAGGGUUUGAAUAUCAAAACAAGCAAAAGUGAAAUCUGGGUUACAACCCUGAAAUAACCCAGAUAAUAGAAAAGAAAACAAAGCAAACUACAAAAACUCUUCCCGUGUGGGGAGAGGAGUAGCUUUUCAAUCGCUAAGCUUCACAUUCGGUCCAACAGGAUGCACAUCUGUGUUGCUAGAACCUUCCCCAAUUUCAACCUCAGAAAAUAGGCUCUGGGACCUCUUGAUCAGCUCUUCAUCACCUUCAAUUACUAGUUUCGGGACUGAUGAUAUUGAAUGUUUUGCAACCCCUAACUUGACAAAAAACUUAGAGACGUACAUGACAGGCUUGGUAGAGCUCCCAGACUCCCCAUCUUUACGAACUAUUUUAAUCAUGUGUGUCUCUGCAUGGGCUGGCAAAGGAUUUGGUUGAUGUUUGGCGUAUCCGGGCUCUGGAGUACAAUUUGAUUUGUAUCAUUAAGCUCUUGGAUUGCCCUCUUCAAAUGCCAACACUUCUCUAUGUCAUUCCCUGGGGCAUCAGAACAAUAUGCGCAUCAGAGAAUAAUCAAAAUUCUUUGGAAGUGGAUUCAGUAUCUUUUCCUCAAUCGGCCUCAACACGUCCAAUUGCCUCAACCUUCAAAACAAAUUGGCAUAGGACUCUCCGAGAGGGGUGAAGGUUUCUUUCCGGUGCUGCCUUUCUCUUUUAUACUCAGGACCGGGUCGAAAGUUCGAACUAGUAGUGUUUCGGUAGGGUUGUGGGUGUGGUUAAGAGUUUUGUGGAGCUGGUGCAUGCCUCUGCGUGUAAAUAGGGGGUUGAGCAUAUGACUGUGCGUGAUAAACAUGGUAUUGAGGGUCUGGUGGUAAAAUAAUAUUAUGGUAGAUUAUAUGGAGCUUGGAUGUAGCCUUGGGGUUGGGGUCGAGGCUGAGUAUAUUGGUGAGGCGGACCCCUUGGGCUACGUCGUGGUCCAGAAACAACCAUAGCAACAUCAUCCAUUUUCUUCUUAGCCAACAAGUUUCCUGUGCCAUUCUGAAUUGCCUGUGUGGUUAUUUUUAUAGCGGAGUAGCUCAUGAUCUUUCUUGACUUGAGUCCCUCUUCCACCCUUUCUCCCAUCUUUACCACAUCGUUAAAAGGCUUACCUAUGGCUGAGAUCAAGUGGCCAAAGUAAGUAGGCUCUAGGGCUUGAAGAAAGUACUCGACCAUCUCGUCUUCUUCCAUCGGAGGAUUGACUCGAGCAACUUCUUCUCUCCAUCUGAACCCGUAUUCCCUAAAGCUUUCAUUAGGCUUCUUUUCUAUCUUGGUUAGGGAUAGGUGAUCCGGGACAAUGUCUAUAUUGUACCGAAAGUGCCGGGCAAAGGCCUGAGCCAUAUCGUCCAAUGUAUACCACCUGAUAGCAUCUUGGUGGGUGUACCAUUCCAGGGCUGCCCCACUCAAACUCUGACUGAAAUAGGCCAUCAACAGCUCGUCCUUCCCACCAACGCCUCUCAUUUUACUGCAAUAACCUCUCAAAUGGGCCACAAGAUCUCCAUGUCCGUCGUACAGAUCAAACUUUGACAUCUUAAACCCGACGGGUAGUUGGAUGUCAGGGUACAAGCAUAAGUCCUUGUAAGACACACUUACUUGGCUUCCUAUCCCUUGCAUAUUCCUUAAAGAUUGCUCUAAACCAUUCACCUUCCUGAAUAUCUCAUCUUGCUUCACAUUCUUAGCGGGCUUCUCGGUUUCAACAGGAGGCUCAACGGGAAGGGUAUAACAAUAGGGAUCUGGGACCUUGAAAGUUGGUUUUGGAGCAUAGUAUUGGGCAUCGUGAACUUUCAAUGCGGGUUCAUUAGAAGAUCGAUGGAUGGUAGCUUGUGGAGGGACUACAAAAACAAGAGUGGAUGUUGGGGUAGUAUAUGGGUUUGUUUUUGGCCGGUGGAGCAUGAAAUGGUUGGGACGAGGUGCCAGGGUAGUAGUGAUAAGGGGUAAAGCCUGGUGCAUGUUGAGGGGAAAGAUCAACGGUAGUGGGAAUCUGGGAUUGUGAUAGUGGUGGGAUAGUGGCAGGGCUUUCUAUGUAAUUAGUGGGAAUGAGGGUGGAGGAUGCCCCCUGAUCCAAGCCUGAUACAUCUCUGCCAUCUGUUGUUUCAACCUUUGGACCUCCUCUUUCAACUUAGAUUCCGAUUCCACAAUCUCCCUCGAUGGGGCAACAACACCUGUAUCCAAUUCUUUACUAGCCAUGACUGCCUUGCGCUUUGACCUAGUAUUAUAUGGAUGACUCGCCAGAGUGCCACAAACUAACCACCAUCCUGACUUACAAUAAUAAAGGUAACAAAGAGGAACAAAACAAAUCCAACAUGUUAGCGUUAGGGCAUUUAUCACUUAAUAAUAUCACAUUACGUGCAAUGCACCUAGCAACAAUUUAUGGUUCUAGAAUGACUUUGAGGGUCACAAGAUCAUAUGGCAUCAUCCAAAUUUGCUCGUUCCAACCUUCCUCUUUUAUUGUCUCUUUAACGCUCUUUGAUUUACAUCAUUUUCUUUCCUCUCUUUCUCUUUCUUCUUACUAUUCUUUUCUUUCCUCUCAUUCCUCACAUCCCACAACAUCAUCUCUUUUUUUUCCUUUAACUUUAAAAAUGAUUUGAUCGAACCCGAUAUAGAUUGCCUACGUAUCAUGUUCCACAUGAAUCAGACCAAGCGUAGUUCUGGAAAAGUGAUGGACAAAAUAAACUAAAGAGCAAAAAGCUUUUUGGAUUUUUCAUUUAUAACUUUUUUUUUGGUUUUCAAAUACAAAUGGGAAGUACGAUGACAAAAGACUCGACAGACUCAGCUAGACUAUGACAGACUCUGACAUCACCUAAAAGACUCAAUACUACUGGACAAGACAAGAAAGUAAAAUAAAACAUGGAAACAGACUUAAAAAUAUAAAAAGUCUCCUCAAACAGCUUCUGAAGGCAACAGUCCUGACUGGGAUGGUCCUAGGGCGUCUGUCAUGCUCAAGCUCUGGUAAGUGGAUCCAAACCUGGAUGAGAAGGAUAAGAAUAAACAGAGUUAGUGACUCAAGACACAACAUGAGCCAUAAAACCUCCUAUUGGACACAUGCAAGACACGAUUAGGGCAUUUUUUGGAAACUGGCCUACAUGGCCAAAAUGUGGCUAGAAAUGCAAACUCAAUAAGGUGACCUCUAAGACAUGGAAACACCUCACGAAGUACUAUUUGGCCUUAAACUUCAAGGAAUCAUAAUCCCCAAAAUUACUUUACAAAAAUGACCCAUUUGCAACCUAUGUGGCCAAAAAUGACUGAGCAUGCAAAUUCAGCAAGAAUGGACCUUAACCUAAGAGGACACCUUGUUGUGGACUUAGGAAUCUAAGACAUAAGUUAACAAGACACUUUGAGAAAAUAGCCCUAUUUUGCAAAAAAGGUCGAUGUGGCCAAGUAUGGCUAAACAUGCAAGAUUUGGCUACGACCCCCGAAGCUAAGAACUUGAGACUCACUAGGAAGACCGGAUCCUAUGCGGGUUGCCUACGUAUCCCAUCCCAAAAGACGAGAAUCAGGUAUGCAUAGUUCGGGAGGAUUGGAUAUGGGAGAAAUCUUUGAAAAAUGCAACUAAUUUGGAAAAUUUUUUUUUUUUUGUCUUUUUUGAAAAAUGAUAAGAAAGUGUAAAAUCUUUUUUUUUGUUUUUUCUUUUUAGAAAACGGGGUAAGAAAACGAAAAGUGAUAAAUCCCUCAAUAUUCUCUCUUCCUUCAUUUUUCACCCUUCUUUCCCAAACAUCAAUCCGCCAAAUGACCUUUCUACCCUCAAAGAUACAACGUUUAGCACAUAGGAUGAUUGAAUGUCCUUUUGGGCCGGUGGGCCCAUUUGACACAACUUGGACAGGCUUCCUAUAAAGGAACACGGUACCUAGGACCGGCUCCUGCUAUGUCAUAAUAAUAUGAUGCACAUAGUAAUGUCCUAAGGCUGACCUAUGUUUGGGGUUCACUAACAAGGUAAUUCGGGGGAGCGUAUGGUCGAUAAUGGCUGCUCAAGCUUUCCACCAACUCCAUACGUCCGACAGCCCCCUCCUAAAAUAAGGGUGACUCAACAAAGAGUUUGUGUAUGCGACGCGUACUACAAGAUUUGUUGCAGAAAGAAUUGAAGCAGGGUUAUGCAAGUGCUAACAGUUAUAAAGCAGUAACACAUAAAAGGAAAAAGUGUAAACACAUAAACAACUAGCAAAUAAUAAAAAAAAUAAGCAAAAUACAAAUCAAACAAAGCAAAUAAAGAACAUAAAAACCUCAAACGAAUAUUCUAAAAAGCCAACAAGAUCAAGUAAUAGCUCAAACCUGUAACUCCUCAGCAGAGUCGCCAAAGCUGUCACACCCCUUUUUAACCCUUUAAACCUCUUAAAAUGAUAAAAAGUGGUUUUUAAGCUUAAAAGGAUUUUCAAUUGAAAGUGACAAGAGUUUGUGUUUCAAAAGAUUUUUCAGAGUCGCCACCUAACAUUUGGUUUCGGUGUGCCAGGUCACCAUUUUAAAAAAAAUAAUUUCCUUCAAAUUACAUUUGACUCUAAACCCGACUGCACCAGAAGUUCUGAAUAAGGGGGUUCAUUUGACUCGGGGAGAAGGUGUUAAGCAUUCCCCAAGUCCCGUAACUAGUACGGUUGCACACUUGAUCAAAUUGGCUAUUAAGAAUACUCAGAUCGAGGUAAAAACACACAAAGAAAAAAAAAUACACAAGAGGCUCGAGGUAGUCCUCACCUAAAUAAGAGAAAAUAAAAUAAGAGAAAAAUACUAAAAUUCUAUACCAAAGCUUCCUCAAUGAUGUCCUCCUUUGCUUCUAUUUACAUAUAUGGCAGGGUAUUCCCCUGAGUAAAAUAAUAUUUACAAAAACAAAAUCUCUUCGGGGCACUCUCCUGAGUAUAAACUAAAGGGAACAACCUCUCACCUCAAAUAAAAUACCUAAGGUUUGACUACCCAUGUAUGGUCGGCCAAAAUAUGCUACUAGCGAGGAGAGAUGAAACAAGAAUAACAAAAUCUUUCUUAAGCUUAUAUUCUAUCUCAUUAUUGAUCAAGCCUCAGGUCCAAUUUUAAACCGACAACCGCACGACCAACUUGAUUAGUUAGGAUCCAACUUUGCUUUAGUUCAUUAUACUAAAACCUAUAGCCGAUAAACUGAUAACCCAGCAUGUACUCAACUAAAGAAAUUCAAUCGACAACUCAAACAAUUAUUAUCUUAUAAAUGUAAUCUAGCUAAAUCAGUGACAAAUCAUGGGCAACUAAAUAAUAAUUAACAACAAAUAAUGGGAUCAAAGCAGAAUAUUUAAGAAAAGAAUGGACCUCAAGGUGCGACACCCUUUCAAUUAUAGCAACGGUAGUACAAACAGGAGCCGGGAUUGGAAAAGCGAACCACGAUCGGAACCUCUGAUCGAAAUUGCUUCUGGUGAUCUCGAACUUGACUUUGGAGCUGCUGUUUUUGUGCGAAGAGGGAGCUGUUUUUUUGUUCUUCGGCUGGGUUUGGAGCGGGUUUUGACUGGUUUUCGGAGGUGUUUUGCUGCUGGUUCUGGGACAGAUUUGAGGUCGUUUUUGGAGCUGUUCAUAACUGUUUUUUGCUGCACUUCUUGGGAGAUUUUUAGAUGGUUUAAGGGGCUGAUUUUCAAGAGUUUAUUUCCAUGGAGAGAACGUGAGGGAGUAGAAGACGGUCUGCGGCGGCUAAGGGUAUUUUCGCUGCUAAUCUCGCCGCCUCCCUCUCUGUUUUUUUUUCUAAAAAUCCCCCUUUUUAUCCCUUCCAGUUUUGGACUCUCUCUUAUCACGUGAACUUGGUGCCCAAGAAAGGAUUUUUCUAGAAUAAGCAGAUGUGAAUUGUAGUUUGUUAGAGGGAAUCAUGUGGACAUGUGAGGUGGGAAGAGGCGAUUAAAGAUUGAGAGAAAAAGAAAUAUAUAUCUAAAAAUAAAAUAAUAAAGGAGGAUAAGGGACCGCUUUCACUUUUCUUUUCUUGCUUUUAGUUUUGCUUUUUCCAUUCUUUACUUUCUGUUUCUCUUUUUGUUUUUUCAUUUUUUAAAGAUAAUCCAAAGUAACAAACACAAAAAUUUAAAUACUACUAAAUUAAAUUAGCAAAACAAAUUCCAAUUGCUUUAGAUUAAUAGAGAAUAAAUAUUAGAUAGAAAAAUAUAGUAACUAUAUUAAAGAGAUUUAACUACUACUAUUACUAAGUAUUUCCUAAAGCCUACAACUUAAAAAUCACUAAACUGAGUAAAAAUAUUUUUGUGAAACUUUUUUUUUAAUAUAUUUUUUAAAAUUCUCCACUCGACAAGAACCAUUAUCGCAUUCUGAACUGAUUAGAAACAUUCCCCCUCCAAGCAUACAUUAUACAAAUCUGAUUGCACUGAUUCAGGUCCAAUAAUCUCGUCUCACCCAGUACAAGCCGCUCAGUCAUCAAGCCACAUCAAGCCCCAUCUAAAAUCUCAUAUUACGCCCUUCAUGCGCCAACAAGCCACAUCUCGAAUAUGACCAAUAAGGAAAGAAAACCCGAUUAAAGAACUAUCCAGCCCGCAUAAUGAAUAAAACAACCAAACCAAUGCUAUGAACCUAUUUCACAGACGAGAAGCAAACACACAAAAUAAGUAUAAGGAACUGUAUCCAACAUCUCACCAUUGCGGCAUGCAGCCCAAUUCACAUAUAAUACCGUUGCAGCGUAUAAACCAAUACAAAGAUCAUACCCAUAGCGGCGUGCCACCCGAUCCACAUGUAACAAUUUGUAUGGGAAUACCCAUCGAGCCAAAAUGAUCAUACUCACUAGACACACGUAUAUCAACCACAAGCAUGCCAAGUGCAUAAACAUAACCCUGAGGAGAUUGUCAUGAUCCAAAAUUUAACUAGUCAUUAUGGCACCUAACCUAACCCGCUAGGUAAGCAAAUUAUCCAUAAACACAAUCUAAAUGAGAUUAACAGGAAACCUGUGACAGUAACAGAAUCUCUGUACCUGACCCCAAUCUCUACUACUUAAAUGAUUGACACGUCACACCUACAUAAUCAUCCCAUAGGAGAUACUCCCACAACCUUCCGUACCAAGUAACAAAAUCUGAACAUCAGCAGCUACCAACCAUGAUAUUUCUGUAGUGCUAGUCAAUCUUCCGCAAAUCAAUACACAACGCCUAUUCCACAAAACACACCAUUCUCAGGCGACAGUAAAGUAGCUCAUGUAUACUCUGAACAUCUGAAAUCUCCCCCGCUCCUUCAAAAUCAUGACAUUCUUGUCAAAACUGAACCGCAACCUUGAUUCUUCAAUUUCAAUUCCACAUCGUUGACUGCAUCUAUCAUGCUAUUACGCGAGAGUACAAGAAUUUUAUCUAAACUCCUGAACCACCAGUAGAAUAACACUUUAUUGGCUAGAAACCUUUCACUUAACUUAAUUCAGAAGAAAAAUUACAACACACAACCAACUUCCCAUAAUCUCACAAGACACACACCUUAAAUUGUGGUCUAAACUGUCAUAACUCUUUCGGGAUCCAUUUGCACCUAACAAAAUCGUCAAAAUUGAAUACCUCUAAAUCAACCAAAUUAUGGAGACUCCCAAUCCACAAGAAUUUCCACGAAACACCUAUUUGGUCUUAUCAUACCGAAGGAACCGAUUAUUUCUCCUAUCUUGUUGCUCCAAGCUUAUGCUAAACUAACCCAACUUCUUCGGACUUCCUCUUGACCUGCUUUCAAAAUAACACUUAUCUUCCCAUCAUACAAUGGAUCUAAAUCAACACUCGCCCCGAGUGACCCCACAUCAUAAGACCACGUCAUCUCAAUACCCAUAAGCCAUUUUAUACCCUCUCAUGCACUCAAUAGUACCUCCUAGUCAAUAGUACCUCCUACUGAUAUGCCCGUUUCGAUGAGACCUUCUGCGAAUUCGACAAUGUUCCUUUCAUCUCUCUAACACCGCACGUAGACCCGGUAAUAAUAUAGAAAUACUUCGAGCAUCUUUCACACUCCACUGAAAAACCCAAUCCUCAGCCACACAAUGAACCCGAAAAUCCUUAGGCACCACACCUUAAAUCUCAAACCUACUAGAACCAUUGUAUGAAGUCGCCCACUCUAAGCUAGUCCGAUUAUAUAACCAAACAACUAGUGCUCCGUUAGCACAUGAAUACUCCAAAGAAGCAACCGAGUGUACCUUCCCUUGCACAUCACAUUUACAAUGAAGCAUAAAAUUCGAGUCAUCCCACAAUCUUCACAUGAAUCGAUAAGGCGAAAUGUAGCACACAUCCAUUAGAUUACUUGAUCGAAUUACCCAUGAUGUUCUCUUCCUCAGUCAUAACUAAUCCACCAAUGUACCGAAAUCUAGAAAUUGCAAAGACAUAUGACCACGUUACCCAAUCACCGACUAUAGACUCCCCCACUUGGCAUUAAGCCACAAUCAUAUAAACCAAGAACACACAAUGACUUCUCCUUCUCAAUUACCACGAUCAUGCACUAAUACCCAGCUGAAUUUCUUGUAAGUUCAGGUUGCACAAAUCAUAGCACAACCCGAAUUAUCAACCCCAAUGCACACUCAACUUCGUGACAGUCGUGCCAUCUUCCUCGGGUGAUCCAGACCCGCAUAACAGUCUAUUCCUCCCAUUGGAUAGAAGGUAAAACUUUUCAUGGGAACUUCAUCAGAAAUCAUGCAACCCCUAACUUCCUCACAGGAGAUAGCCCACAUGUGUAACCUUAUAUCGACAUCUUCCAAUGACAUUCCCAUGGUUAUAACCACUACGAAAUAAGUUAAUACUCCUGAGUCCACAAUUGUCCACCCGCUGUUAGAGUUCAUCCAUUCCAUUAACAUCAACUGAAAGUCCAACAAUACGUUUAAAGCUCGAAGAUAUUGUAGACAUGUAAAUUUUGACCUUCCUCGAAAUUUUACAUUGUUUAGUGCUUAGUGUUGGUUUUAGGUGUAGUAAUGCUAUUUUGAUUAUUUUUACCUUUUUGCUUUAUUUUUUCCUAAAAAAGAAAACAACAAAAAUAUUUUCCUUGAUUUUAUCUAGUUGGUAUUUUGUCUAGCAUUUUUUUUUAUUUAUCUUACUUCUUAUAAAUUUAAAAAUACUAAAAUUGUCUUGGUAUUUAUUUCCAUGAAUUAUUGAUUUGACGAGUGGUUAUGAGUUUCUGCACAUCACUUUCAUCAUUGCAGUUUUGCAAGGGUUGGAACGAGGCUUUUAUGUGUCAGGAGGUAUACUACCGGUAUUAGGUUCAAAAAUUUGCAGCUAUUAUAGUUGGAUGAUAUUACUAUGGGCAUAUGAGCAAUACGGUACAUCGUGUGGUUACUACUUAGGUGUAUAGUUAUAUUUUGGUACAACUUGUGGAGAUUGAUACAGUGUAUGUAUGCAAGAAUCGGACCUUUUGGGAAAUUUCAGAUAUUGGAAUUUGGUUCUAAGGCUUGUGGAUUAAGGUAGCAUGAAGGAUAUUCAGCCUGGGUUGAGCUAAUAUGCUACUAUGGAUUGAGGUAGCACGAGUGUGUACACGGGGAGUUAUGUAGUGAUUCGGCAGCUUGGGAAUGACUCUUGGCACGUUCAAGGACGAACGUAUGUUUAAGUGAGGGAGAAUAUAACGACCCAACCGAUCGUUUCGAACUAUAGAAUGUCGUUCAGUGGGUUUGAGACCUUAAGUAGCUUCACUUUUUGUAUUAUAACAUGCACGUGUAAUCGGUUUUUAUUUUCAAGAAGUUCGGAGUCGAUUUGGAAGAAUAAUUCUCAAUUCGGAAGCUUUAAGUUGGAAUAGUUGACCAAGGUUUGACUUUUGAGUAAACGAUCUCGGAAUCAAGAUUUGAAGGUUCCUAUAGGUUCGUAAGGUAAUUUCGAACUUGGACAUAUGUUCGGGUUGAGUAUCGGGUAUUUCAGGAGUGAUUCGGCACUUAUUAUCGGAAGUUUGUAUUUUGAAGGUUUUGAAUUAGCUAAGUUUGAUUUAGAGUGAACUUUGGCAUUAUAGGACUCCGGGCAAUGUUUCGGGACCUUGAAUAGGUUCAUUUAGUUUGUUGGAACUAGUGUGCGUAGCUUAGUCGUAAUCCGUAAAGUCUAAGUAUGAUUCGGAUGCGUUCGACAAAUUUUGAAGGUUUGAAAGUUAAAAGAAAGAUUUUGAUCACCGAUUCUUGAUUUUGAUAUUAUUUGUGGCAUUUCGAGCCUUUGGAUAAGUUUGGAUAAGGUAUUGGGACUAGCUUGUAUGACUGGACGGGAUUUCGGGAGCCUCAAGUGUGUUUUGGGAUUGUUUCGGACCAUGUUGGAGCGCUUUGCUGCUGCUAGUUGCUGGCUCUGGUUUUGUUCUUCACGAACGCGUUGGGAGGCACGCCUUCGCGAUGAACGAUUUGUGCUGGAGGCCAUUUGUGCUUCGCAUUCGCAUUAGGUGAGAUGUGUUCAUAGAGGCUUGGGGCAGUGGUGCUUCGCAUUUGCAACAGGGAGGUCGCGUUCGCGAAGAAAAACCUGGGACUGGAGGUUAGCCUUCGCGUUCGUGUAGGCUAGGUAAGGCAUCGCGUUCGCAGACACGAUCUCGCGUUCGUAAAGAGGAUUUUUUGGUAGCUGUAGAUUUUGCCUUCGUGAUCGCGAAGAGUUUUCCGCGAUCGCGAAGAGGACGGGCCUGUGCAGAAUAUAAGUUAACAAAUCGGAAAUUUGUUCAUUUCAACUCAUUUCUCUUUUGCUAAGGCAAUUUUGAGCAAUUUGGAGGAGCCAUUUUCAUCAUCUAUCAUGUGGUAAUGAUUUUCACUUGUUGUGAGUUAAAUACAUGGAUUAUGUAUGGAUUUAAACAUUUAAAUUGGUAGAAAUUAUGGGAUUUAGGAAGAAAACUUAGAAAUGGUAUUUUGUUUUAGUUUUGAUCACGAAAUUGGAUAUGGAAUUAGGAAUAAAUUAUAUAUUUAAGUUCAUGAUGCUAUGGAUAAUAUUUAUCUUCGAGAAUUUGUGAAAUCUGGGAGCGUGGGCACGGGGGUUGACCUUGUUGACAUUUCGUGUGGAGUUAAAAAUUAUUUUUAAUUGAUUAAAUUAUGAGUCUUUGGGUAUAGUUUUAUUGGUUUGCAUGUUCUUUGACUAGUUUCGGAUCAUUUGGCAUUAGUUUGAGGUGUUAGAGAGGCGUUGGAGCCGGUUAUUGGAUUUCAGAGCGAGGUAAGUCUCCUGUCUAACCUUAUAAGAGGGAAUUUACCCCGUAGGUGCUAUAUUUUUUAUGUGCUACGUGUUAUGGGAGCUACGCACGUAUGAGGUGACGAGUGUCCGUGAGUAUGCUAGAAUUUUUGAUUAUGUUCGGGUAAACUUAGACUCGCACCAUGUUUUAAUUGUAUUGUUUGAGUUAUUCUUGCUUGUUUAAAUGCCUUAAUUGUUAUUUUAGCGUGAGAUUGGACUUGCAUAUAGUAUCGAACCUUACUAUUUUAUAUACUUGACGAGCUACUUGAUUAGUCGUGGAAUUUAUACUUCCUAAUACGGAUUUCUCACGCAUUGUGCGUAUCCGUCCGAAUCUUUUUUGAAUUUCAUAACUUACACGUAUAUUCAUGAGUGGGGUCAGUGACCCAUCAAAGUUUCUGUCUAAUUUCUUUUCUAGACCGUUGUUGUAGUAGUAGUAGUAGUAUAUAUUCUAGUAGAUGCCCAUGCACUUGUGACACCGAAUUUUGGAAAUUUAGACUAUUAAUCUUGGAUGUAUUUUUGUUACGGCAUUCGGUGUUGCAUUUUGAUCAUAUUUUAAUCUCGAAGAUAAUGCUAGUAUUUUUAUAAAAAACAUAGCAACUUCACUUAGUUAUUUUACCAUUAUUUUAAAAUAUAUUAGGAACUGUCGAUUUUCGUAUUGAUUAAAUUGAUGUCUUGUCUAACGACAGCGUUGGGCGCUAGUAUGGCCUAUGGUGGAAAAUAGAUCGUGACAGAUGCAUCACACGAGAUUAAGUUGCUCACUAUAAAGCGUGAAAUGUUACCGUUUUUAUCCGAUGUGCGAUAGCGAGACUAUAGCUUGCAACACUUUCUUUUUCAUUUUUCAUCCACUUAUAAAUGAAAAUGUAAACUAGUUAUUAUUAAUUAUAUUUUAUUUUGUGUGGAGAAAGAUGCAGUAAAUAUGAACUCACAAAUUCACAAUAGAAUUUAUAUUCAAGUUUAACCAAAUCGAUCAAAUUACGAUCAUUGACCAUUCAUAUCAUGUGUAUUUUUUUUCUCUCUAGAUUUUUUUUAAGAACACAAUUUUGGAAAUUAGAGAUCUUAAAUAAAAAAAUUGGUAAUAAGACAUUUAAAUACCUUGGAUAUCACAUUAAUUGUUUUUAUAAUAAUUGCUCUAAACAAAAAUUAAACAUACUUCACAUGAUUAAGUAAUUGAUAAAGAUUAUUUUCCAAUUCUGACCACAAACAUGUGAUCGAGUUAAUUCGAAGUUAAUCAAGGAUGUUUGAAACCAAAAUUUAGAAGACAUGCAAUACUUAAGCCCCAGUUAUAAUAUUUACAAAUAAAUAUCAUUAAGUAACAUAUUAUAAUUAAGUUUUAUCAUUUUUAAUACAUUUAAAAAUAAAAUAUUAUAUAAGUAGGAUAUAUAAUUAAAAACAUUAGUUUUUUGUUUAAUACAGAUCUAUCUAUUGAAGAAGACAAAACUUCAUAAUAAUGAAAAAUAUAACUCAAUAUUUCUCUACUUAAAAUUUAUACCUAAAAUAUUCUAUAUUAUUUAGUAAUGAAAAAUGUAACUGAAUAUUUUCUCUACUUAAAAUUUAUACGUAAAUUAUUCUAUAUUAUUUAGUAUAUUUUCUAAUGAUAUCAUCUCAACAUUAGUUAUAUUUUAUAAAAAUUAUUUUGUUAAUAGUGUAUAAGUAGCCGCCUUUUCCUAGUGAUUUGUAGUAUUCAGUUCAAAAAAGUAUCACAUCAUUGACCUUCACAUGGGACUUUUGCGUCUAUACCCGAUUUUGGGAUCACAAUUGAAUCUAUACCCACUUUGUAAAAAUAUUUGUAAGCGUACCCACUUUACGAUCAACUUCAAACUUAUCGGGUCUGAGGUUAAAAAUAAUUAGCCUGAAGUGAAAAAAUUGCACUUCAAAUGCACUUAAGGCCAAAUAGGUCUGAAGUGCAACCAAUGGUUUCAUGCACUUAAGGCUAAUAAGUCUGAAGUGAAAAAUUGCACUUCAGAUGCACUUAAGGCCAAUAAGUCUGAAGUAAAAAAUUGCACUUCAGAUGCACUUAAGGCCAAAAAGUCUGAAGUGCAACAAACAUUUUCAUUCACUUAAGGCCAAUAAGUCUGAAAUGAAAAAUUGCACUUCAGAUGCACUUAAGGCCAAAAGGUUUGAAGUGCAAUAAACGUUUUGCUACACUUAAGGCUAAUAAAUCUAAAGUGAAAAAUUACACCUCAAAUGCAUUUAAAGACAAAAGGUCUGAAGUGCAACAAACGUUUUGUUACACUUAAGGCCAAUAAGUUUGAAUUGAAAAUUUGCACUUCAGAUACACUUAAAGCCAAAAGGUAUGAAGUGCAACACACGUUUUGCUACACUUAAGGCUAAUAAGUUUGAAGUGAAAAACACACUUCAGAUGCACUUAAGGCCAAAAGGUCUGGAGUGCAACCGGCGUUUUUAUGCACUUAAGGCCAAAUAGGCCUGAAGUGCUAAUUGCCUAGAAACAGAAAUUUAUUUUUCGAAUUAUAACAAUCCUAUUUACGAUUUAAUACCUAAAUCUACUCCAAAUGAGCUCAAAUUUGAAACAUAACCUCCAAAUAUCAUUCGGAACAAACCCCAAUCAUCAAUUUGUCAAAAACAACAAUAAAUCUAAUGAACUCAUUUUGCAAUUAAGAAAAAGAAGAAGAAGAAACCCUAAGCAAUAGCAAAAAAUAAAGCAUCAUAACAGCUCACCAUUGUAAAACAUCAUAAACUACAUUAAAAUAUGUUCACAACCAUCAUAUAAAAUUAUUUGUCACCCGAAGAAGAAGAAGAAGAAGAAGGAGAAGGAGGAGGAAAAAGAGGCAUGAAGUUGUUUAAAAAGCGGGUACAAGUUAAAACUAUUUUAAAAAGUGGGUAUAGGUUAAAUGGGGGCGACCAAAUAGGGCGCCCCAUGUAAUUUUUACCGUUCAUAUGGGGUUAGAUUUUAACUGAAUUUAACUUUAAGAUAAUUGAUAACUAUGCAUGACAUUGCCAUCAAUAAAUAAAUUAACUAAAUACGAUAAUUUUAUUAAUAAUUCCAUCAAAAUUGUUCCUUUAAACUUUUUCCUUUUAAGAUAUUAUUAGGGUGAGAUUAAUCCCUAAUGGCGUGUGACAAAGUGUUUAACAAUAAUAUUCAUUAGUAAUGUCUUUGUCAUUUUUAUAUUAUUAUUUUUUAAUUUCAUAAAUAUUUUUUAAAGAAAAUAUCAUCAAAUAAAUAUCAGGUAAAUUCGUAAGCAAAAACCGCUAGCUAAAUCGCAGCAGCAAAAUUCCCAGGUAAAUCCCCAAGUAUGCAAAUUCACAAGAAAAAUCUCUAGCUAAAUCCCAAAAUAAAAUCCCAAAAUAAUUUUUCAGAUAAGAAAAUUCCCAAGUAAAUCCCCAAAAAAUAAAUCCUCAAUCUAAAUUCUCAAAUAAUAUUCCAUGUAAGAAUAUCCCUAGGUAAUUCCAUGGUUAAGUAUCCCUAGCAAAAAUCUGCAGGUAGCAUUACAUGGGGUUUUUCUUGCAAAUUGACAAAAGAAAUUGUUUUUGUUCUUUACUUGUGAAUUCACCUAUAAAAACGAUACUUGUAGAUUAAUUUCCCCAAAUAAUUUUCCAUUUAAUAAUUUGGCGCAAAAUGACGCAAAAUUAACCUAGGAACUUUCUUGGAAAA
rnacentral:lncRNA from 1 species